rnacentral:lncRNA from 1 species
CACAUGCAUAAAGUCAUGGCAUUUCACAUCAUCAUGCAAGACAGGACUCAACAUCCUAUCCUAGUGGACAUGACCUUCCUAUUGUGCUUGACCUUCUAUAACAUCUAUGAGCCCGACACUCUAGGUCCGACCAUAUGAACCUAGGGCUCUGAUACCAUUCUGUAACGACCCGAAAAUCGGACCGUUACCGGCGCUAGGAUCCGGGUCGACUUAAGGCCGCCGGGACCCGUAGCAAGCCUGACAUGUAACCUGUAAACCUGUUUAAUCCCAUACAUGAUCAACAGUCAUACAUAAAAAUUUAAAAUUUUUCCUCAUACGUACUGUCAUUAACUAACUCAACCUGAGCAUACCCUGAACAUAUACAUAACAUAGUCCCUCUGUGGGAUCUCAUCAUGCCUUAAAGGCAAAACAGCCUGUGUUGAGUUAGUUUACAUAAACAUCAUAACAUAAGAUCAUGUAUAGACAAAAGGGAUUAACAAUACAUUAUGGUCAAGCACAACUCUAUCCUCAAUAACCUCAUUACAUAACAUUCUGAAUAUUUUUACAUUUCAUCAAUUGUCAUGUCCACAAACUAACUAUUACAUAUAUAAGACAUACUUCAAAACUCUGGCUAACCUUCUGAUCUACCCUGUACCUGCACAUCUGGGGUUAGGGGAGAGGGGUGAGCUACAAAGCCCAGUGAGCAGAAUAAUAUAAAACAUUAUAUUAAAAUUUUAUGCUUUUCAUGGAAUGCAACACAUCACAACAAAUCACAUCUCGGAUGGUAUUGUCACCUAUAGUCCUCUACAUAGGUCCAACUGUGCCGGGACGUAGAAUGGGUCAACCGGUCUUUCCCUUAUCAUAACAUAUCAUAUGGACCAACUGUGCCAGGGACGUAGAAUGGGUACAACCUGGACUUUCUCUUACAUCGUGCCAGGGACGUAGAAUGGGUACAACCUGGACUUCCAUACCAUAACAUGCCAUAACAUCAAUCAUAUCAUAGGAGGACUAAAGGAUCAUCCAAUAACCAAUCCACAUCAACAUUAACAUCAUAAAUGCAAUGCAACAUAUUCGUGAAUACUAAUGCAAGCAACCUAUUAUAUCUCAUGGCAUUCAUGAUGCAUGGAUCAUGCUCAAAAUUCAUAUUUUCAUUUAUUUAAAACUUAAGGUUUAUUCCACUCACCUCUGGCUAGCUCUGACAAACUCUGUGGCAGCUGGCUCACUGCUGGGGUCCUCGGUUCCUCGGGUCCGAACCUACACAGGUGGACUCCAAUGAGGGACCAAACAUACAUAACAUAACUCUAAUAUAUUCCCCAAAAACCCCCUAAAACAUCAUGAAACAAUCACAUAACAACAUGCAAGAAAUGGCUGGACAGGGCACUUUCGGCGGCAGGUNNNNNNNNNNNNNNNNNNNNNNNNNNNNNNNNNNNNNNNNNNNNNNNNNNNNNNNNNNNNNNNNNNNNNNNNNNNNNNNNNNNNNNNNNNNNNNNNNNNNNNNNNNNNNNNNNNNNNNNNNNNNNNNNNNNNNNNNNNNNNNNNNNNNNNNNNNNNNNNNNNNNNNNNNNNNNNNNNNNNNNNNNNNNNNNNNNNNNNNNNNNNNNNNNNNNNNNNNNNNNNNNNNNNNNNNNNNNNNNNNNNNNNNNNNNNNNNNNNNNNNNNNNNNNNNNNNNNNNNNNNNNNNNNNNNNNNNNNNNNNNNNNNNNNNNNNNNNNNNNNNNNNNNNNNNNNNNNNNNNNNNNNNNNNNNNNNNNNNNNNNNNNNNNNNNNNNNNNNNNNNNNNNNNNNNNNNNNNNNNNNNNNNNNNNNNNNNNNNNNNNNNNNNNNNNNNNNNNNNNNNNNNNNNNNNNNNNNNNNNNNNNNNNNNNNNNNNNNNNNNNNNNNNNNNNNNNNNNNNNNNNNNNNNNNNNNNNNNNNNNNNNNNNNNNNNNNNNNNNNNNNNNNNNNNNNNNNNNNNNNNNNNNNNNNNNNNNNNNNNNNNNNNNNNNNNNNNNNNNNNNNNNNNNNNNNNNNNNNNNNNNNNNNNNNNNNNNNNNNNNNNNNNNNNNNNNNNNNNNNNNNNNNNNNNNNNNNNNNNNNNNNNNNNNNNNNNNNNNNNNNNNNNNNNNNNNNNNNNNNNNNNNNNNNNNNNNNNNNNNNNNNNNNNNNNNNNNNNNNNNNNNNNNNNNNNNNNNNNNNNNNNNNNNNNNNNNNNNNNNNNNNNNNNNNNNNNNNNNNNNNNNNNNNNNNNNNNNNNNNNNNNNNNNNNNNNNNNNNNNNNNNNNNNNNNNNNNNNNNNNNNNNNNNNNNNNNNNNNNNNNNNNNNNNNNNNNNNNNNNNNNNNNNNNNNNNNNNNNNNNNNNNNNNNNNNNNNNNNNNNNNNNNNNNNNNNNNNNNNNNNNNNNNNNNNNNNNNNNNNNNNNNNNNNNNNNNNNNNNNNNNNNNNNNNNNNNNNNNNNNNNNNNNNNNNNNNNNNNNNNNNNNNNNNNNNNNNNNNNNNNNNNNNNNNNNNNNNNNNNNNNNNNNNNNNNNNNNNNNNNNNNNNNNNNNNNNNNNNNNNNNNNNNNNNNNNNNNGAACCUGGGUUUUCCUCCAAUGCUAUUUUCAUGCAAAAACUCAUUUAGUUUCAUACUUUAAAACAUUAAAAUACAUGAAAACAUUUUAUAAAACAUGCCUCUACCCUUCUAGAGGUCUCCGACAUCCGAGAUUCCACCGGACGGUAGGAAUUCCGAUACCGGAGUCUAGCCGGGUAUUACAGAAUGUCCCAUUUAUAAGUUAUCAAAGUUAGUAUAGAAUUGAAAACUAAUUGCAUUGUGAAAUUUUUUUGGUGAAUGUGUUUGAAUUUACACUUAGUGUGGUUGGAUAGGUAGAUAUUCCAAAUAUGAUGCACUUUUGAUAUGGAUGAGGGCUGAAUACAUAUACUGAUUGCUAUAAUUUCUCAUUAACAGCCUAACCAACCUGGUUAUACUGCCCCGCCACCUCCCCCUCCAGUAGAAGAUACUGUCAUUGAUAUCAGGCAAGUUCAAAUUUAUGUUAAUAUUUUGUUCCAAAAUGAAUGUAGUUAUCAGAUUAUCAUUUACAUAUAAUGCACAAUUUAAUUGUUGGUUUUCAGGCUCUGUUCGAAGAUAGGGUUUAUAAGUUUUAUGUUUUCAUAUCAGCAUAUUUAUUAUAGUUAAUAUGAAUGCUGAAAGAAGUUGGAUGUAUGCCCGUCUCAGAGAUGGUUUACUGAAUCCCAGAUAUUUAGAGGGUAUCAAUGAAUUUAUAGAGAAGGCUAAGACCUGCACAGAAUAUUUAAAUGGCGAUCAGAUUCGUUGUCCUUGUAAUCGAUUUAAGUGCCAAAACCGUAGCUUUCAAGAUGAAAAUACAGUUAAAUAUCAUUUAAUGAAGCAUGGUUUUGUGCAAAAUUAUCUUGUUUGGUAUUUGCACGGUGAAACUGAAGUGCAUGACGGAUAUGGUGAUACAGAUUUAGACAUGUCUUAUGGUUCUGACAGUGUUAAUCACCCAAAUUUCAAUCGUUUUGAGGACAUGGUCAUGGAUGCAACAAGCUGUCAUGUAAUGCAUAAUGAUACAUAUGAGAUGCCAAACUCGGCUGCACAGAAACUGUAUGAUAUGUUAAAUGCAUCUAAGCAACAACUAUGGCCUGGAUGUGAAACUCACUCCCAGUUAUCAGCUGUUUCACGUUUACUAAAUCUGAAGGCUGAACAUCAUUUCUCAGAACGGUGUUUUGAUCAGAUUUAUGAACUCAUGAAGGAGAUGUUACCGAGUGACAAUGUCAUGACGGACAGCUUUUACUCAACAAAGAGACUAGUCCGAGGAUUGGGGCUUCCUGUACAAAAGAUACACUGUUGUGUGAAUGGUUGUAUGAUUUAUUGGGAAAAUGAUAAAGAACUUACACGAUGCAAAUUUUGUGACCAUGAAAGGUUCAAACGCCUGAAGCACACCUUGGGGAAAGGGAAGAGUCAAAUACCAUACAAAAAGAUGUAUUACUUCCCCAUUACACCACGUUUGCAAAGACUUUAUGCGUCCUGUGUUACAGCUAAGUAUAUGACUUGGCACAAUGACCAUGCAACUGAGGAUGGGGUGAUGCGACACUGUUCAGAUGCUCCUGCUUGGAAGCAUUUCAACCAAACUCAUCCAACCUUCGCACUGGAGGCCCGAAAUGUCAGACUUGGCCUUUGCACUGAUGGAUUUCAACCAUUCGGUCAAUUUGGGCAACAGUAUUCUUCAUGGCCAGUAAUACUAACUCCAUACAAUUUGCCACCAGGUAUGUGUAUGAAAGAUGAGUACAUGUUCCUGACAAUAAUAAUACCUGGUCCCAAGAAUCCGAAAGAGAAGCUUGAUGUGUACAUGCAGCCAUUAGUGCAAGAAUUGAAAGAACUUUGGGCAAUUGGUGUGAAUACUUAUGAUGUUUUCCAGCAGAACAAUUUUACUAUGCGUGCUGCAUUAAUUUGGACUAUUAGUGUAACGACCCGGAAAUCCGACCCGUUACCGGCGCUAGGAUCCAGAUCGGCUUAAGGCCGCCGGGACCCGUAGCAAGCCAAACAUACAUCCUGUGAACCUGUUUAAUCCCAUACAUGGUCAACAACAUACAUAAAAAUUAAAACUUUUCUUUGCCAAGCCUAGCCUGUGCAUGCACAAACAUAACAUAAACCCCUCAUUGGAGUCCUCAUCAAAUAUUCCAAUGGGGUAACAUAACAUAACAUAGGCUUGGAUUACAUAAUCAUCAUAAAAACAUUAUAUCUCAUACCAGACCAUGUGUACAGGGAAUACAACAGACUCUAGUCAAGCACAUUAUCAAACUUACAUUACAUCUCAUACUUAUACAUUACCAACAAACCAUGUCCACAGCUAAGCUAUUACAUAAACUGCUCUUACUCUGUUGACUCCUCUAGCUACUCUGCACCUGCAAGACUGGGGUUAGGGGAGAGGGGGUGAGCUAUAAAGCCCAAUGAGCGGAAACUAAAAAUAUUUGCUUUAAUUCCACCCUUUUUAGGUAUAUUAUUAUUCAUUUUAUUAUUAUUAGAGUUCCUCCAUUUUUAGGUAUAUUAUUCUUCUUUUUAUCAUUAUUAUUAUUAUACUUUUUCUUAUUCAUGCUUUCAUGAAAUGCAACACAUCACAGCUAAUCACAUAAAGGAUGGUAUUGUCACCAUUAGUCCUCAACAUCUCCAAAUGCCAGGGGCGUAGAAUGGGCCUCACUGGUCUUUCUCUUACAUAUCAUAACAUUCCAAAUGCCAGGGGCGUAGAAUGGGCCUCGCUGGUCUUUCUCUUUCAUAGUGCCAGGGGCGUAGAAUGGGCCUCGCUGGUCUUCCAUACAUAUCAUCAGAGGACUAUGGAUCACCCAACAACCAUCCACAUCAACAUCAAAUUAUGCAAUGCAGCAUAUUCGUGAAUUUCUAAUGCAAACAUCCUGAAAUAUUGCAUGGCAUAAUGAUGCAUGGGCAAUGCUUUAUGAUUCAUUCAUUUAUUCAUUUAUUCAUUUACUUUAAAACUUAAGGGAUUGUUCCACUCACCUGGUGACUGAAGCUUUACCAACGAACUCUGAACGACUAUCUCACAACCGGGGGUCUCGGUUCCUCGGGUCCGAACCUACACAGGUGGACUCAAAUGAGGCACCAAACAACAAGAACAUAACUCAAAACAUACCCCCAAAAACCUCCUAAAAACACCUCAAAACACUCCUAGGAAACAUGCAAGAAAAGGCUGGACAGGGCACUUUCGGCGGCGCCUUCGGCGGCCAAAAGUCCCUCCAGAGACGAAAGUCAGGCAGGUUCGGCGGCACCUUCGGCGGCCGAAAGUCCCAGACAGAGACGAAAGUCUCUUUUCGGGGGCAACUUCGGCAGCCGAAAGGCCUGCCUCCCCAGCCAUGUUCGGCGGCCGAAAGUGCCUUCGACUGCCGAACCUGGUUUCUGCAAAAGGGCAGAAACUAUGGCUCCUCUAUGCACAUAUGCCUCCCAACUCUCACAUCAUGCAUAUACUUCACCCAAAUCAUGCAUACAAGUUCCUAGGGGCCUCAAAACAUCAAAUACCCCAACUACAACACUUCAAGCAUACUCAAACAUCAUACAUUGUUCAUAAAUCACUUAAAGCCUAACAUUUGCUUAAAAACUCAUACAACCCUAUACAUUCCAUUCUACCCCAUAAAAUCACUUAAAACUUACUUAAAACACAUGAGGAACUUAAGAUCGGCUCUUACCUCUUGAAGAUCGAGGGUUGAGGAGAUCUAAACUUGGAGAUGGGAGAAGUUUCAACUUUUGGUCUCCAAGCUCCAAAACUCGUUCUAAGCUCAAAGAUCUUCAAAACCAAAGUUAUAAACUUGUAAAGACCAUGGAAAAAGGAAGGAAAAACUCAAGAUUGGAGAAGGAUGGCGGAAUGCUCACCUUGGCCGAAAUGGGGAGAAAAAGCUCGCCCAUUUUCGGCUAAGGGACCCUUUUAUAGGUGGCUGGCCAGGCCACGUUCGGGGGCCGAAUGUGCCUCCGCAUCCAUGCAAUGUUUGGCGGCCGAACUUGACUUUCGGCGGCCGAACCUGAACUUCCCUAACUCAUGCUUUCGGGGGCCUAACGUGCCUCCAAAACGCAUGCAUGUUCGGCGGCCGAACUUGACUUUCGGCGGCCGAACCUGGGUUUUCCUCCAAUGCUAUUUUCAUGCAAAACUCAUUUAGUUUCAUACUUUAAAACCAUUAAAAUCAUGAAAACAUUUUAUAAAACAUGACUUUACCCUUCUAGAAGUUCCCGACAUCCGAAAUUCCACCGGACGGUAGGAAUUCCGAUACCGGAGUCUAGCCGGGUAUUACAAUUAGUGACUUCCCUGCUUAUUCAAUGCUCUCAGGGUGGAGCACAGCAGGACGCACUGCAUAUCCUUAUUGUAUGGAAAACACAGAUGCAUUUACAUUACGAAGGGGAGGUAAACAAACAUGGUUUGACAGUCAUCGGAAGUUCUUGCCUGACGACCACCCUUUCCGUCGAAACAAGACAUCUUUUAUUAAAAACAAAUGUGUAUCCAAGUCACCGCCGCCAAUUAGAACUGGAGAAUACUUGCUAAAAGAAAUUGAGCAAAUUGGGUUGAGGCGGGUUAUAGACAUUGACAGUCAUGAAAUAAAUUGUCGGCUUUCAAAGAGAACUGGUUGGCGUAAGCGGAGCAUAUUAUGGGAUUUGCCAUAUUGGUCUUCAAAUAUGAUUCGCCACAAUCUUGAUGUAAUGCACAUUGAAAAGAAUGUAUUUGAAAAUAUUUUUAAUACAGUUAUGAAUGUGGAGGGGAAGACAAAAGACAAUAUAAAAUCAAGGGAAGAUUUAAAUGAAAUUUGCAGGAGACCAGAAUUGAAGAAAGAUCCAAUUAGCGGGAAAUAUCCAAAAGCAUGUUAUUGUUUGGAUAACCAAUCGAAGAUGAUACUGUGUGAUUGGCUUAAAACACUCAAAUUCCCUGAUGGAUAUGUUUCCAAUCUAGGGAGAUGUGUUGAUAGUCGGAAGCUUAGACUUUUUGAUAUGAAAAGCCACGACUGUCAUGUUUUCAUGCAACGAAUUCUUCCUAUAGCUCUCAGAGAGUUCUUACCAAAUAACGUUUGGCAACCAAUAACAGAGCUUAGCAAUUUCUUUAGAGAACUCACCUCAACUACACUUACUAAUGGGGACAUGCAACGGUUAAAUGAACAAAUUCCUGUGAUCCUUUGUAAGCUUGAACGAGUUUUUCCUCCAAGUCUGUUUGAUUCAAUGGAACAUUUACCAGUACACCUUGCAUAUGAGGCAUUAAUUGCAGGACCAGUACAAUAUCGGUGGAUGUACCCAUUUGAGAGGUACACGUACUACUUAUUUACUCGCACUCCUUAGCAUGAUGAAUUACUUAGUAUACAUAUAUAAUUUUUUUUUCCACACACUAGGUACUUGAGAAAGUUAAAGAACAAUAUUAAAAAUAAAGCAAGGGUUGAAGGUUCAAUGUGCAAUGCUUACUUGGUAGAAGAAGCAAGUGCAUUUUCUGCUCAUUACUUUCAAGCACAUGUAAUGACCAGACAUCGAAAGGUUCCACGCAACUUGCAUGAAUUUGUCUCUGAUGAUGACAUACCGGGUAAAUUAAGCAUAUUCAAAUGCACAGGUAGAACUAUCGGAAAAGGAAAAUCCAGAUAUAUGACUAAAGAUGAAAUCCAAGCUGCUCAAACAUAUAUUCUAUUAAAUUGUCCAAAGGUUAAAACAUAUAUUGAGUAAGUAUUGGUAGUUAUACUGAUAGUGUAAUACCUCUUAUAUUGUACAUUAUUGUUAAACAUUAAUUGUUUCUUUGUAUGUAUAGCAUUUAUGUGGAGCGAGUAAAGUCGACACAAUCAAAUAUCACAGAUGCAGCUGUUGAUGAAAAACUAGAGAGAGACUUUGUCAAAUGGUUUUACAAGUAUGCCCAUGAAUUGCCAAACAAUGUACAAAAUCAGCUUAUACAAGAUGUGGCAAAGGGACCACUCAGAAGUGUCACCACUUUUAAUGGGUAUUGUGUUAAUGGAUGUAAAUUCAACACAAUCAAUGGAAGUUCAAGUAGUAACUCAAUGAAUUUUGGUGUAUGUAUAAAAGGGAGUAAUUACAGUUCUGAAGAGAGCGACUACUAUGGACAGUUGGUCGAGGUGUUACGAUUGGAGUAUCCAGGGCUACCAAUUAAGCGGACUGUACUUUUCAAAUGUGACUGGUUUGAUCCAACACCAAGUACGGGCACCAAGGUGCAUAGACAGUAUAGAAUUAUUGAUAUUAACAAUAAGCGUAGAUACAGUAAGUACGAGCCAUUUGUAUUGGCCUCUCAGGCAACACAAGUCGUUUAUGCUUCAUACCCGAGCAAGCGUCGUGACAAAAAUGAUUGGUGGACUGUGAUGAAAGUUAAAGGUAGACCCGUUGUUGAAGUAUCUCAAACGUCUUCAAAGACAUAUGAACCUUUUCAAGAAGAUGACAUAGAUUAUGCUGAAGUAAAUAUCGAUGAUAUUAAUCAACAACACUGCCUCAAUGAUCCUAGCGGAGGAAUGACUGAGAUUCAUGAUGACGUUUCGAUAGAGGAAGACGAAUUUCUUAGUGACCCUGAUUCUGAUGGAGAUGCAGACGGUGAUAAUGAGUACAAUUCAUAUGAAUCAGACUAAAUUCAUCUAUAUACUAAAGAAGUUUGGAGUUGUAUAUUUCAUUUAUUACUCAGUGAGUAGCUUAAUACAUUUGUAUAUAUUUAAUAUAAUGUUUAUGAACUUUAUAUUAUUUUUGACAAUGACAUUUUUUGUUUAUUCACAGAUGAGGGGACGUGGAAGGGUUAGCAAGCUCAGAGGACCGGUUCAACUUCCUGCAAGUGCAAGUCAAGAGGACGCGAAUACAAAUGACGGACAAGAGCAUGAGGCGCAUAUACCACGGGCACCGACGGGACUUGGGGAUACAGAACUUCAGAUAUGGGUACCACUUGCAUCCAGUGUACAGUCAUCUCAUAGAGAUCGAUUAUAUACACCAGUUCCACCAUCUGCCGAUGCACAGCUUCCCCGUCCCCUUCCACCACCUCACCGUCACAGUUUACAUCCUCACCGCUCUACUGCAGCUCCACGACUAGCGGUAUCACAUACACAUUCACCUCAUUCUGCAUCCCCUUCUGGUCCUGCAUCCGCUAGAGGGACAGGAUUUGUAUCAGCAUCUACUCCAUCAUCUGCUCCUACAUCUCUCUAGCAUCAGCUGCAUCGACCACUGCUGUAGGCGGAACACAGUCAUUCCGACAGACUAUUUCACUCAUUAACAACAAGUAAUAAUUAAUUGUUUAUUAAUUUACAUUAUUUUAAAUGUUACCAUUUACUUACUCAAAAUUAUCUUGCUCAUGUAGUUUGCAUCCGUCGGAGAUGUGCAGCCGCAGGAUAACUCUGAUAGUGAAAGAAAGAUUGGUCGAGGAAGGCCACUGUUGGAAGACUGUUCCCAAUGAAACCAAAUAGUUUUAUUGGCAGGAAUUAAAGGUGAAGCAUAAUUAUUUUAGCAGUUUGUUAUCUAUUUAUGAACUGUUUAAUUACUAUCUACUCAUAAAAUGUAAUCUUUUUGCAGAAAUACUUCCUAUGGGACCAAGCAAUUGACAGCUUGAUAAAAAUUGCCUGGCAGAAAAAGGCAGCUGAGUGAUACAGGGGCUUAAUGUGGGAAAUCCGGAAAGGAAAGGCGAAGAAUCUUGCAACCCCUGAUUCUGUUUUAAGGAAGUGGCAGGAAACUUGGAACACUUCUGAAUACAAAGAGAAGUGUGAGAAGUUUUCUGCCAAUAGGCGCAGUGAGGCUGGAGGUUCAGGAUCUGGCAUUUCCAGGCACGCAUGCGGUUCUGUUUCACAGUACACCCACCAGCGGAGGAUGGUAUUUGUUAAAACUUUUAUUUUAUAAUUAUCUUCUUAUAAAUAUUUUGGUUCGAUGACAUAUGCUACAAUUCUUAUAAUUGGUAACAGAGGGAAAGACUAGGCAGAGAACCACAUCCUCAUGAGCUUUUUGAGGCCACACAUAAGAGAAAGGGGACGGAGGAGUUUGUUGAUGCGAGAUCAAAAGCUAUUUAUGUAAGUUCAUCUUAAAUGUAGUUAUUAACAAUUUUGAUUGACUUAAAUUGUUUUACUUAUAUGUUACUUUAAAUUUAUAAUGCAGGAUAAAUACGUACAACUGAAGGAGGCUGCUACACAUCAACAGGAGGGAAGCAAUGAGCCGACGCCCAUAAAUGAGGCCCAACUGUACUACGAAGCAGUUGGCGGACAGAAAAAGAGUCGAGUUUAUGGGUUAGGGUCCCAGGCCUCAGCAUAUUUUCAUGAGCCAUCUCAUUGUUCUGCAUCAUACACGUCUGCACCCCCAGUGGAUCCUCCUACAAUUGAAACAAUGAACAUGAUGCAGAAUAAAAUUGAUCGGCUAGAGACAGAGAAUAGUCGAAUUACCACAAGGCUGGACGAGUUGCAGACGAUUAUGCAUAGGAUGAUGGCACAACAGGGUAUUGGGACAUCCACUCAGACAUCUGGUCCUACGGCACCUCCAGCUCCGUCUCCACAGCAGCGGCGUGAUGAUGCUCCUGUCAUUGGUGAUCAUCAUACAGAUAGUGAUGAUGAUACAGAUGAUGAGCUAGCUAGUUUAGUUUAGUAUGUACAUUUUGUUAUGACCAGUUGAUAAUUUGUAUUUCAAAAUAUAAUUGUAGUACAAAUUCUUUACGUUUUUAAUAUAUUUUAAUGAGUUAUUUAGUUUUGUCUGUUUAUAGUAUUAUUAUUAUAUGAAUAUACAAAUGGAUGUAUAUGAAUGUACAGGGUAUAGGUACAGAUGCAUGUAUAUGAGUGUACAGGAUACAGAUGGAUGUGGAUGUGGAUGUAUAUGAAUGUACAGAUGUAUGUACAGUUACAGGGGUAGGGGUGUGCAAUUCUGUCAUUUUUAUUCACUAACGGAUUAGUAACCAAACAUCCGUCACUGUCACCAACGGAAAUUCCGUUGGUGAUUCGUCACUGUCACCAACGGAAAAUUCCAUUGGUGAUCCGUCACUGUCACCAACGGAAUUUCCGUUGGUGAUCCGUCACUGUCACUAACGGGUACAAAUUUCUGUUAGUAAAUUAUUUACCAACGAGGAUUUUCCUGACGGAUUUAAUCCGUCACAGAUCCAUUAGUGAAAAAGAUCACUAACGGAUCUUCAAUGCUCACCAACGGAGGUGAUUUUACAAAAUCUUGUAGUGAAAUUUUAGAUUUUCUUCUUCACAUAAAUACCAAACUAGUGAUGAGGGAAAUGUAGAGUCACAGACAACAAGGUGAUGUUCAUAGAAAUCCACAACAUAAAACAUGAGGACAUUUGGAUGGUCACUAGCACUAAUACAUAAUUAUACUAUGUAUUAUAACUAGUCUAUAAUGAAAAUGCAAAUAGUUUUCCUAUUUUCUUGAAAUAAAUAUUUUUAAUAAAUGCUAUAAAUAUUACAAAGUUAUAGAACUAAACAAACUUAGAAAGUAGCAAGAUAUUAUCUUCAAGUAAAAGAGUUAUAUUUGAAAUUUUUGUAAAUAAACAAUAAAAUAUUAAUAUAAACAAUUUAAUAAAUUUAUAACGACUAAUUUAAAAAUUUUUAAUACAGAAAAUAAAGAAAAAAAAAUUUACCUUUAUGAAAGAAGGAUAGAAUAAGUAAGAUAGAAUAUUAGUCACUACUCAUAUAUUUAUAGUUGAAAGAGAACUGAAAAUGCCAUCUAUGGUAGUAUUUUUAAAAUAUUUUACAUGUAGGGAUAUUUCUAAAAACACCAGAUCCUAUUAAUCACGAAGCCAUAGAAUAAAGAUAUUGCUGCUGAAAAUACCACUAGCAAUAGCAUUUUCAAAAGCGCUAUGAAUGAAAAUGCUACUGUCCUUAGCAUUUUCAAAAGCAAUAUAAAAGCUCAAAAUACGUAAAUAUUACUUUUGUAAAUAAUUUUUAAAUCACAUUAAAUUUUUUAUAAAUAACAUUAUUUUAAUAAAUAGCUCUAAUCUCUCUCUUUUAUUUUUUUACAUUUUAAUUUCUCUCUAUUUUAUAAUCUAUCUCAUAUUUUAUUAUUAUUUAUCAUCAUAUUUGUACUCUAAAUUUAUAUCGAUAUUUGAUAUAUCUAAAUUCAUACCUUUAAUAUAUCUUAUUACCUCUAUAUUAAUAUAUAUUAUAUACUCAUUUUCAAAUAUAUUUUAUCUCUCUAUUGGUUGAUUAAAUGGAUAAUAGUUGUGCAAAAUAUAUUAUUUUUCACAAUAAUGAUAGUGAGAAAUAACAUUUUAAUCCUCUAAAUAGAGUCGGAACAUCCGAUACUCCAAAUUAAUGUAUAUUCAUAUCCAUAAAAUUAAUAUAUUUUAUAUAUACUCUAAAUUAUAUAUAUAAUUAACAAAUUUUUAGUUAUACAUAUUAAAAACAUAAACAAUUUAUGUAAUAAUAAUAUUUGGUUUAAAUUCAUACACAUAUGAAAUAAGAUAUCAGCUAAUACUCUAAAUUAUAUAUAUUCAAAUCUAUAAAAUUAAUAAAAUUAAAAUUAAUAAAAGCUCAUUGUCAAUUUAACGCUGAUUAAUACACAAGCGAAAAAAGGUAAAAUUGAUAAACUAAACCCUAAAUCCCUGACCACAUAUCUCCUCAAAACUCAAAAAAAGCCACGACGCACUGCCGCCCUCCUCCUCCCUUCCCAUUUGUACAUCAGCCUGUUGUGAGAAGAAGUACCGUCGUCUCCGCCGUUCCAUCACGUCCAGUCGUCGCCUGCCCACAAUCCCUCUGGUCCAGCCAUCGCCUUUUGCCGCUCGUCCUGGUCCAGCCGUCUCCUCCCGCAGUUCGUCCAUUUUGAAACGCUGCAACGUCCUUUGUCUCUGCCGCUCCGUUUGGUUCAGCCGUCCCCAUCCGCUCCCUUUGUCUCCGCCGCUCAAUUUGGUUCAGCCGUCGCCACUCAUCUGGUCGUCACCUCCGCUGCUCGUAUUCCACUGUGAACGUACUCACAGGUUUUAACUGCUUUAUUUCAGAUUUCUGUUUUCUAAAAUUUGUAUGUAGUGUAAACAUUGUGAGUAGGCUAAGAGUAUACAUGUAGCUAAAAUCUCUAAGAUCUUCGUUUUCAUACUUCUGUGUAUUAGUAAAUUUAUCUUAAAUUUGAAUGUAUGUAUAAACUUGUCUUUGUAAAUUUUGAGUGUAUUUCUAAGAUCUGUGUUUGUGUAUUUAUGUGUAUGUAAAUUUGACUUUUAUGUGUAAGUUUGUGUUUGUGAAUUGUGUGUGUAUUUCUCAUAUCUAUAUUUUAGAUGUGUUUUGUGCGUAAAUUUAUUGUAAAUUUGCGUUUGUGUUAUGAAUUUCGUGUGUAUUUUUUGUAUUUGUGACCUUUAGAGUUAAGCGGGUUUGUGGGGGUUCGGUUAAUAUCCGGGUAAUGCUUAUUAAAGCAUGAAAUAAUAAAAACAAGAUUUGGAAAAAAAAACAUUGGAAAGUAUGAACCGACCCAUCUGAACUGAACCAGGGCGGUUUGGUUCAAUUUGGUUUCCCACUUAAUUCGGUUUGGUUCAGUUUCUAAAAAUAUACAUUUCGGUUAAUUCAUUUUUAUCGGUUUGGUAACCAAACCCACUGAAUGCUCACCCCCUGCUCUCUCUGUUUCUCUCUCUCUUUGUUUUUAUGUUUUUAUAAGGGUGUUUGCAUCUGAGUAUCAAAGGUUUUAAUGUGUUGUUUUUGUUAAUUUUGCUAGAAUUUUGAUACCAAGAUGGAGCCCUGAAACAAAAGUAAAAAGAGAAUUUGUUUCAUGCACUAGAAUUCUCCCUCAAUUCUUUGAAGAGUAUUUUUUUUUUUUUUUUUCAGUUUAAGGCUAAUUUUCUUGGAGUGAAGAGAUGGUGCGGCCAUAUGCUAUGAAGGGGCAGAAGCGGAAGAAGAGAGAGGAGAGAUAUGAUAAGGAGGAAGACGAAGUAGAAGAGCAAUCCCUAGAAAGAGCCAAAAAACCUUUAGUAGCAGAAACAAAAACAGAAACAGAAAUGCCUACGAAAACCAGCGGGAAGGAAGAAGAAAAAGAUGAUGAAGAAGAAGAAUUAGAAGAGCAAGCACAUGUAAUGGUGGGCAUCCCAAUUACUCCAAGUGAUUCAAAAACGAAAAAGCCUGGGGUUACAUUUGUGCUUGAGAGAGCCUCUUUGGAAGUUGCUAAAGUUGGAAAGGUAUGUACUUAGCAAUGUUCGUUGGAACCUUUUUCUAAAUACGAAUUAAUAGAUGAAUAUGGGUUUAUCAAAGUUGGAAAGGUGUGUAAAUUUAGAUAUUGGAGUAGUGUUGAAUUAACUUGAGUUAAUUGGAGCCGAAUUAUGGCUUUAGGCUCCUGAAGCUUAGAUUUUGUUUGAUCACUUUGUCUAAAAUUUCUUCUCUAUCUAAUUAGUUUUCUUCAUGCAGAGUUACCAGAUCUUGAAUUCUGAUGAUCAUGCAAAUUUCUUGCGGAAAAAUAACAAAAAUCCUGCUGAUUAUAGGCCUGACAUUGUUUAUCAGGUUAGUACAUUUUAGGAUUCAAUGCUGUUGUUUGUCACCAAUGCUUUUUCUUUAAUUUCCAUUGAAUUCUUCUUGACUCUUCUAAAUUUCUUCUAUUAAUGAUAUUGGAGGGUGUGAGUUCCUUUAAUGACCAUAGUUUCAUUUCAUUAACUUUUCUCCCCUUCUUUUGGGAAGAAAAAUCAAAGUUAAAAUUUGUUAAGAGUGGCAGUAAAAGCAAAUGAUUUAAAGUUAUUGAAAUAAAGAUAUCCUCUACUCUCUCUUUCUCUUAUGAAGUGUCAUGCUUUGUUAUCGUUACAUUUGGUUCCUCGCAAAAUCAAAUGGCAAAUAAACUAAAUGGAAGCUAAAGUUGACAAUGUUCUCUGAGAUCGUUUUGGAAUAGGAAUGUCAAAUAGGCUUUUUAGCCAUGCUGAAACCUCAUUUCAAAUUAAUUUUGUUUCUUAAGUUGUGAUUGUUGAUGAUGAUGCCAGGCUCUUCUAUCAAUCUUAGAUAGUCCAGUAAACAAGGCUGGGAGGUUGCGAGCUGUGUAUGUGAAAACAGAUAAAGGUGUUCUUUUUGAAGUUAAACCACAUGUGCGAAUACCAAGGACAUAUAAACGAUUUUCUGGAAUUAUGCGUAAGUACAGCUGGUCGAUAUCAGUCUUGUAUGUUUUGCUUACUAUUAUGAUCUUUUGCUUGCUUUCAGGUGCUCUUACUUUUAUUCCUUGUUAAAUCUUGCAGUGCAGUUGCUUCAAAAACUGAGUAUAAGUGCUGUCGGUAAGCGGGAGAAGCUUUUGCGUGUAAUCAAGAAUCCUGUGACCCAGUACCUACCUGUCAACUCUCGUAAAAUAGGUAAGUUCGAAGUUCUUUGGCUGUUCCAACUUGCUGUUAGUGGACUACUAUUACUUGAUUGGAAUGAUACAUUUUCUGGUUUUUUGCAUUAGGGUUCUCGUAUAGCUCAGAAAAACUGGUUAAAAUGAACAAGUAUGUAGCUGCAGUCAGUGAUGAUGUGGAUCUCGUUUUUGUGGUAUGAUGAAAAUUAACUAAUGCUUUUAUACUAUGUGCUUUCUCAUUAAGAUUGCAGCCUGACCUCUCACAAUUCCAGGUUGGUGCAAUGGCCCAUGGAAAAAUUGAUUGUGAUUAUAUAGAUGAUUUUAUAGCAAGUGAGUUCUUCUCAGAUCUCUUCUUUUUCUUUUAUGUUUCUUACUGCACAUGUGCAUUUUCCAUUUUAUAGUAAAAAGCUUUGUUUUUUUUGUUUUGUUUUUCUCGUGCUUUUGAGAUAACUAUUUUCCUUCCAUGUUUCACAGCCUUUAGUUGAAUAUUAGAGAAAAUUUCUACAGAAUCCCUGAGUUUUAGUGAAAUAACUACUUAGUCCUUAUAAUUCUUAAGGCCUAUUAAAAUAUCCCUUAUUAUUUUAAAAUACAACCUUUUGGUCCUUCUAUUAACAAUUGUUAAUAGAUUCCGUUAGUCUUUGUUGAGAAAUUUAACUAGAGUUGACCAAUUUUUGGAUUGAACAAAAAAUUGAACUGACAAAAUCGAACUAAACCAAAUCGAACCAAACCGGCACUAUAUGUGUAAUCUUAAAGAAACGUUGCUCUAAACCUGCUGCCUAGUUCACUGUCAUCUCACUCACCUUUCGAUUCGUCCCGUCUCUUCUUCUCCCUCAGUCUACAUCACUAGUUGUCUCUAACCUAGCUUGUUGUCCUCUUCUCCUCCUCCUCCUUCUUCGCCCUUAUUAAGCUCUUUUAGAUUUCUUCACCUUCAUUGUUGUCAGCUCCUCUAGAUGUGAGAGAGAAGGUUAAAAGAGUAAAAGGGAUCUCUAACCAAGGAAAGAAAAAGGAAAACAAGGUUUGUGCAGCAAAGAUGACAUUUCCAGAUGCAUAGGGGAAAUAAAAGAGGGUUCGUGGGGAUGAGAAUAAGUGCGUGAAGUAAAUGGGUUUCUUGGUCUGGUUGUAUGGGUGUGCAGUGGGUCUAUGGGUGUUCUCUCUUCUUCUACUCCUACCAUUCAUUUUUCUUUUCCAUUUCUAAUUUCUAUUAUUGUGUGAUGGAAAGUCUGGUUAUGGAACAAUGGGUUUGUUGUUUGCAGGGGCUUUGUGUUGAUGGAUUAUUAUUUGAUUGAGAUAUGAUUGAGUUGUUUUUGCAUUUGAUGUUUGUAAAGGUUUGUGGAUUUGACUUGUAUUCAGUUUUCUGGAUUAUUGCUUGUAUUGAUUUUUAUUGUUUGGUUUAUGGGUUUAGUUUAAAUCUUUAGUCUAAAUCUGGAUUUCAAUCUUUGUAUGGUUGAAUGUUUUUUUGCCUCUGAAAGUUCAGUUUUCUGUGUUUGAUGUUUCUAAGUUUUUGUUGUUCAUUCAUGAGAUUGGUUUUAAUGGAUCAAACCAAGCCAAAUUGGACCAAACAAGGUAUAGAGUUGUCCUCUGUUAUUUUUGAAAUUUACAAUUAGUCCCUCUCUUUUGACUGAUAAGUUCUCCCUUUGACUAGUAGAAUUUUUAAUAGAAGAACCAAAUAGUUGUAUUUUAAGAUAACAAGGGGCAUUUUUAUUGGCCCUAAGAAUUAUAAGGACUAACUAGUUAAUUUCAGCAAAACACAGGUACCCUAUGUAAAUUUUCCUUAAAUAUUAUAAGCUGAUGGUUCACAAUUUUCAGUUCAUAUGAUAUAAAGCUCCAAGUCUUAUCCGUACAAAAUCCAGCUGUGUCCUAUGGAAAUGGGUCAAGCUGACUUAAAUGCAAUUGUAUUACUUCUCUAUUGAGUAUUUUUCUAGAUUUUAUAUCUGAUUAACAAGAAAAGUAAUGUACGCAUGCCUGUCAUCUUUGUCAAUGUUUUUGCUUUAUUGCUGGAAUUUAGACUCAUCAGCUCGGUUACAAUUAGAUUUGAGUUAAUUUGGUUGGUUUCUGAUUAUAGAUCUUUUCUUCUAUUUUAUGGUUUGAAUCAAUUUCUGAGUGCAGAUGAGUGAUACGAUGGGCUAUCUGGAAAAUGUCUGCAGUUGAAUUACCCAUACAUGUAUAUUGAUUUUCAGGGGAGAAGAAAAUCUGUUCUCCCUUUUAUUCUAUUGGAGAGAUGGUUGCAGGAAUUUCUUGAGCUUAGAUGGUGAAAUUUUUAAUAUCACUAGGCAUUAUGAUGGGUUCUUAUUUGUUGUACUAAAUGAGCUAGGUGUAUAGUUGGAAAACUACAACCUUUAGGAUAUGUCUUAGCAUAAAGUUCACUGAAUUUCAUAAAAAUUUUUACCUUAGAUUCCAUGUUGAUAGGAGAAUUUGAAAUAAAAAAUUUAUUGUAGCUUUUUUAUAUCAAAUUAUAUGAUUUAAGAUUUACACUACUAGAGAAUAAAAACGUUCUUAAACCAAAUUGGAUAGAUUUGAAGUUGCAUCUUUGUAGUCAGUAUUCAAAUUCACAUUCAGCGAAUGUAAUCAACCAGGAGAUCAAAACUUAUAAAUCGAAUUCCAAUUUUCAAAUGUCUAAAUUAUGUUACCCAUUUGACAAGUCGAUUCAUUCCCAGUUAUUUUAAAUUCUUACUGAUGUUGCUUGACUUCUAUGGUUAAAAAUGUUUGUACAGUCUCAUUUCCAUCUAAGUUGCUUAGUUUGAAGCAGUUUUUUAUAUUUAUACAUGAGGAUGUGGCCUCUUUAGGCAUUUUUUUUCUGAGUUAUUGAAUCUCGUGUAUGAGCACCUAGGGUUCUCUAUCAUGUUCAGUGUCAUUUUUCAACAACAUGCUGUGUCCUAUGAAAGCUGAAAAUAGAAAAAUAGUUAAAUCAAUUCAGUAAAGAAUAUUGAUUCUUCAAAUUUGAGGAAUGGAUUCUUCCUGUGCGUAUGCUUAGUGACUAAAAUUCCAGGUGUAUACAAGUUAUUGUUCUAUGCUAUACAAGUCAAAAUAGGCAAUUUUUUUAGAACACAGUUACAGUGGGUGGCAGCAUAGUUUUUUAGACUCGAAAGAAAUGUGCUCUUGAUGAUUGAUAAGUGGCAGCAUUUUUCUAUCCAUCUUUUAUUAUCUUUUUGAAACACAAUUAUAGAAAGUACUCCUGGAUGUUGGCAGACAUUAAGUUCAUCAUAUGCACUGAUAUGCAUGGGAAAGUCUUGAAAAUGACCAGGAGAUUUUUAGCCGUGUGAUUUCAUUGUUUUCAUUAGUCAUUUGCUUUUCAUACCUGGGGAAAGUGACCUGAUAAUUCUUUUAAUCCAAUUUCUUGAAUUCUUUGCACCAUUAUCAACUUCUAAACUUUGCUUUGAUGUCUGGACAACUGAUCACGCACCCAUCACGCACCCAUCACGCAUAUCUAAUCAUGCUGAUUAACAUUGAUCUAAUCUUAGCAGCUUCCUUUUCACGGUAAUGAUAGAAUUUCAUUGUGCCAUAUAUGAUUUGUAUUUGCCCUUUCCUUUUCUUCCAGUUUCUGGAUAUCCUCUGAGCGCUGCCUGGUGUAUCUCAAGGAUUUGUGAGGCGUUGGCUGACAAAUGGGAUGUGCUGUAAGCUGUAGGUGCUGUUUGGUUUAGCGUUUUGUGGUAGUUAUAUCACACUCCUUAUCUCUGGCUGACCAAACACGGCCUACAUCCUCUGAACUCGAACUACGCUGGUUGUUGGCUGAUGGCCAUCUCUUCCCUGGCAACGAUGAGAAGAAUUUGCAAAAAUUGAAGAUUAUCAUGAGAUGAUUUUGAGUUAAAAGUUUACGUAGUAGACUUGCAGUCUUGCAGAUGUAGGGAAAUCACAAAGGUUACCUUUUUGUAUGCAGAGGUAUUCAUGCAUGUUAUGAUUCAAUUUUUGUAAUGGAUUUCUGGCUGAAUCACUCAUUUAAGAAAAUAACUUUUUUUUUAUUGAUUGAAUUCUAAUUUAUUAGUUGGAUGGUAGAAUUCAUUUCAAUAUUAUCAAAUCUAACAAUUUCGUUUAUGCAUGAGAAAUAUUAAAACAUUAUCCAAUUAUUUUGCUAUGCGCCCACUUUUCUACAUAUAAUGUUAUAUUUACUUGCAGCAAAUAUUUUUCGUUUUGAUGUUGUAAUUAAAUAAUAAAAAUAUUUUAUUUAGUUUAAAUUUUUUUAAAAAAAUCAUUAAUUAAUCUUUAUAAUUUUUAAAUUCUAUUAAAAUAUCUCUGAUUUUCUAUAUAUGUUAUAAUAUGGUCUUUUUGUUAUAUAUUCUGUUAAAGCACUUGCUACAGUCGAUUGAGAAAAAGCAAAUGUCAGUACCCAAAAUGCCCAUUAUCUCUUUCAUAUUGGUUCCCCCUCUCCUUGGACCUUUCGUUCUUGCUUCUAUCUCUCGCUUCUCCCUCUCCUUCCAUCUUUCUUUCCGUGCCUCCCUAUACAUUUUCCAUUACUUGCUCUCAUUUUUCACCUGAUAUGUUUCUUCGAACAUUUUAAGUGCAUGAACAAAGCUCAAGCUAAAAUAAGUGCAAUAGAUCCAGUAACACAAAUCAAAUUGAAGUCCUGCUCAAAUGUGAGUGCAUGAAAGAUGUAGACUUCUUGUUGAUGGGCUUUAAGUUCAAAUUUACUCAUGAAUUCAAUAAAAUGGAGAUGGUGCAUCUGGUUCUUUAUUCUUCUUUUCAUUUUCUUUCCGUUAAAAGCAUUUGCUCGAGUGCUCCGGCUUUUCUCCAAGAUCUCUACUGUAAGUUCUUGAACCUUGGGCACACGGGGCAUUCCUCCAAGAAGGAGCACCUCAACGUCUUCGGUGGAUUUACUAACAUCCUUCAAACAAUUUCUGCAUUAAUCCAUUAUCUUUUCAAUUAAGUGAUUUAUUAAACUUUUAAAUUUAGAUCCGGUUAGAGUAAUAUUUAGAUGUUUUGCACCACAUGCAUCAGUUGUGAUAAAUGGCAAAUUGAUUUCAUUCUGGGUUGCUGUUGAGAGCUCUAUUUUGGUUGGAAAAAAAAAAAAUAUCUAAAGGGUCAUUAUUGUCUUUUCCUUAAUGAUUAACAGAAUCUGUCAAGACUUACUAACCAAAGGACUAUAUAGUAGUAUUUAUUAAUAAUUAGAGAUAUUUUAAUAGGGUUUAAGAAUUAUUGUAACCAAUUAAUGAAUUUUUUAAAAUUUCAGGAUCUAAUAAUAAUUUUCCCCAUAUUUUAACAUCUACUACAAUGUCUGUUAUAUCAAUUUUUUUUUUUUUGUUUGGGAUCAUUUAUUUUAUGAGAAAAAAAUUUAAACUGAAAUUUUUAUAAAAUCGUAUAAUUUUAUAAAUUAAUUUAAAAAAAAUAAAAAAAUUUAUUUCAAUUAAAUUUUUAUAAAAUUUUAAAUUUCAAACCACGAUUAAAGUCAAGGGUAUCGGUAAAUAGAAUAGAAUAGGAUAAUUUAACCAUAUAUUCUAUCUCUUUCACAAGGGGAUUUAUAUUAAUAGUUCUCUAUUUUUUAGGAAGAACAUUGUGAAUUAAUGCUAAGAGAAUCAUAAAAAUCAUGUAAAUAUCCUAAAACAGUAAUAUUUAUUUUUUAAUUUUUGAUAAUUUAAUUGAUUUUUUUUUUAUUAUAUCAUCGAGUUCAAGGCAUUUAUAAUUGAUUAUAUUAUCGAAUUCAGGUAUAAUUUAUAACCCGUAAUUUAGCUUUUUAAAAUAAAUAAACUAAUAGUAUUCGCAGACUUAAUUUAAUAAUAAGUGAAUCUGAAUAAAUCUAAGAGAUUUCAAAUUUUAUUCUCAUAAUUUCCGACCUUCAUUUAAGAAAAAAAAAAAUUAACCAAUUAGAUGGAAAGAGAAUUACAUCAAAUUGCAGGUAAGAAAACUGAGUCAUAUUAGUGAAUUUUUUUAUGAUAUAGAAAUUAAAUACUCUCUUCAUUUUAUAAUUUUUUAUUUAUUUUACCUUUUUAUAUAUACUAAAAAUAUAAUUUUUUUUAUUAUAUUUAUUUUAAAUAUAUUAAAUUUUAUUAAAUAUUAAAAAAAAUUUUAAAAUAACUUUUUAAAAAUAAGAUAAUAUAAAAUAGAACUAUAAUAAUCAACUUAUAUAUUAAUGAAAUAACUGAAAAAAAAGAAGAAGAGUAAAAAUUAUAAGACAAUGAAAAUAAUAAAUUUUUCUAAAAGAAAAGGAAAAAAAAAGCAUACACUAUUGUCAAAAGUUUUCCAUAAAGUUUCAUUGCCUACCUCCCCAAGUGAUUACAACAGCUUUAAAAAAUUCACUAUAAAUAUUUCUCUCCCUGUUACUUUCCAGCUAUAUCUAUUUUAAAAAUAUUAAAUUUUAUUAAAUAUCAAUAUAUAUUUUAAAUAUUUAUUUAAAAAAUAUUAAUUAAUAAAUAUUAAUUUUAAAAAUAAAAUAAAAUAAAAUUAUAAUAAUCAAUAAAAAUAGAGAAAAUAUAACACAUUUUUUUUAGAAUUAAUUUAUAAGUUUAUUAUCAUAUUCAUCUUUAAUAUGCACCGUAAAAUUAAUUUAUUAGUUUAAGAGUAAUUUAGUAAUAUUAUGAAUAUUUAAUUUUUGAAAGGGUAAUUAUCUGAGUAGAGGGUAUAUUCAAAAAUAAAGAAAAUAAAAUUUUGUUAUUUUUAACUAUAAUAAAUAUAUUUUCUUAAUUUAUAUGAAAAAAGUGAAAUAAGUCUAUUUUAGUGUAACGAGCAAUAUUAGACUAUUAGUUUUACAACAUUAUAUUAGUAAUUUUCAUUUUUAAAUUCACUCAAUGAUAAAAAAAAAAAUUACAUAAUAAUUUUAAUUUUUUAAUUGGAUAUAUUAAAAUUUAUUUUUGUAUUAAUAAAUUUUUUAAAUUUUUUAUUAGCCCCUCCAAUAGUUGAAAAAGCUAUUAAAUAGUUCUAAGAAAAUUUAACUUUUCCUUAAUUGAUUCCUUCAAUUUUUUUUUUUAUCAAUCCUAAUAAUUUAUAAUAUAUUUAUUAUAAUUAAAAUUGAAACAUUAAAAUUUUCUGAUUGAUGGACAUCAAACUUUAAUUGAAAAUUAAUUUUAAAUUUUUAUAUUUACUACUUAAAAUUUAAUUAGUAGGUAAUUUUAAAUUAAAUGAAACUCAAUCUAAUAAUUAUCUAUUAUAUAAUCUUAAAUUAAUUUUUUUCCUAUAUAAAUUUAAAAAAUAUUAUAUAUAUGUAUAAGUAUAUAAAACUAAUGAUCUCAUUUCAGAUUGGUUAAUUUUAGAUGUAAAUAUUAUUUUUGUAUGAUAUAUUUACUUAAUAUUUUAUUAAUUUUUAGUUUUCAUGUCUAUUUAAUUAUAAUUAUUAUUAAUUUUUCAAAUAUUAUGAUAUUAUUUCAUAUAUUUAUUCAUAUUAUCUUUUCUCUUUAUCUCUAUGAAUUUCAUGCAUUAAUUUUUAUAAUACUUGAAUAUUACUUCUUUUAGUAAUUCUAAAAUUUUUUAUUUUUAAUUUUCUGUUAUCAAUUUGAUUAAUUUUGACUUACUAACUAUAAAUUUAUUAUUAUUAUUAUUAUUAUUAUUAUUAUUAUGAUAUUAAUUUAGCAGUGAUGAAGGAUAGGGCUCAAGGAAUGUGGGUGGGCGUUCAAUAUCAUAGUAAUAUGCCAUUUAUGGAUUGGACCAUACCUGUGCCUAUGGUCUCUUCUUUCUUAAUGGGCUCACAUACCAUAUUGGCUAUGGGAUUUGCAGUCCUGCACCCACUCCACUUCAAUUAUCUGGACCACCCUCAGUUGCUUGAAAAAAUUACUAUCGGCUCCUUUUGAUAUAUAUUUAUACUAUAAAAAAUAAGAAAAAAAAAAAAAUCUAAAGACUCAUAUUCGACUUUUAAUAUGGGUAAAUUACUUUAACUUGCAAAAUUUAUAUAUAUUAAUUUUCUUUAAUUGUUUAAAUUAAACUUGAAUCUCAAUCUUAGAAUUUUAUAUGAAAAUUUUUAUAAAAUAAAUAAAAUUAAAAAUUUUACUAAAAAUUAAAAUUGGCCUGUUGCGUUAAAUAUCUAUAUCCACUACAGAGACUAAAGAGAGUUGGUACCUUCUUCAUCAAAAGGAAGAGUUGCAUGUUUGACGAUGAUAUCUUUGGGAAUAGACACCACUACUCUGAGUGAUCAGAAUACGCCUUAGGCCUCGAGGGUGAGAAGUGCAAGCUUUGUCACGUCUCCUCUGCGUGUAUGCUUAGCUGGUCCAAAGUUCUGAAUUUAGCUUCUAGAUGGAUUUCUUUAGCAAAUGUCAGUUUUGUUUCUAGUUAGUGUUUGAAGAGAUCUCUAUAGUAAUUUAGUUUUUUCUUAAUUGGUGGUGUUUGUCCUGCAAAACAUCCUGGCGAAAAUAGUAUUUGCCUACUUGUUGGGCUUCCCUAAAUUUCCUAGGGUGGGUUAGAUUAAUUAUAGUUGGAUUUUUAAGUUAAACCUUUAGUUCAAUCUUGAGUCUUGAUUUCUAGCAAAUGUUGAAUUUUCUAGGGUUUGUAUUAGACCUCUACGCGAAUAAUUUUAGAAAUUAUUGUGCGCGGUUAAAAAUUUUAUAUUAAUUUUGAUUAAAUAAUUUUAGUUUUAUUUAAAUGAUAUCUCGAUAAUUAAAAUUGAAUAUAAAAUCAUUAAUUCCUGCCCUUACAAUUAUAAUUUUAUUGUUUAAAAUUGACUAAAAGUGUAUAGAAAAAAAUUUGAAACCUUAAUUUUAGUAAUUAUUAAAUAAAAUUUUUGUUAUUUAUGUGGUUUAAAUUUUAGUUAUAUUUUUUUAAAAAUAGAAUUGUGAUCCGACUUGAAAAUUGUAGAGUUGGAAUUCAAAUUAAAAAAAAUUAGAAGCAACAUUGAAUUACGGGCUUGGAUUGUAUUUUUUCUCCAUUUUUGUGAUUAUAUGAUAUUUUAAAAAAUAAACUAAAAUUAAAAUUUUGAGAGAUGAAGAGAUUAUAUCACUAUUUUGGAUCAUAAUAUAUGGAUAUAAAUCUUACCAUAAAAUCACAUUAAAUUUUUUAAUAUUAAUUUUUUAUUAUUAUGAUUUGGACUUAUAAUACGUUAACAUUAAGUAAAAUGAUUAAAAUUUAGACUAUGAAAUUAACUAUAAAACCAUAAAAGAUUAAAUUUUUUUAUUAUUAUUCUCAGUCAAGAAGAGAGUGGAUGAAAAAGUUGAUGGAAAAAACAAAGUUGGAGGAGAAAAUGAUGAGAUGGAUGAAAGAAUCCAAGAGACUGAUAAUUUCCCAUCCACUCUUUUGUGUCUUAAGAAACCCAUUAAUGUGGGAGAGAGAAAUAUAUAUAUAUAUAUAUGUUUGGAGAAAGAGAGAGAGAGAUGGGUGCAUUGUAUUUGCAAAAGCAUAUGAAAUUGCCUUAUUCAGAGGUUGACACUCUCUUAUUGGCUACAAAUUGUUGAAUAGACAACAAAGAAUCUGUCAAUACCCUCCAAUCAAAUUUGAGCUGCAUUUUCCUCUUAAACAAUUAUUUCUAUUUUCAUAGAUUAAAAAAAAUAAAUAUUUCAUUAUUAUUUUGUUACUCUAAGGAGAAUCUGCAUGCACAACAUAUCUUUAUUAGUAAUUUUUUUUUUCUCCAUUUUUCUCUAAAUAAAUGAAAAUUAUUCUUAAAUUUUUCAGCGGCAGAAGAAGACAAAGCAAAGGUGGUUAACGUUUGAGGUGUGGGGGCCGAAGUCAUAUGUAGUACAAAACCAUUUUCUUUGUUCCCUUCAAGUUGAUCAAUGAUAGAAUGUGAAGUAUUUAUAGCAUAUUAAUGCUGGAGAAAAGGUUUUAUAGUUGUGUGCAAGAAUCAAGCACCAGCUGAUUUGCUGGAUCCACGCCAUCUAACUUGAUAUGGAUGGAUACUAUAUGUGUAUGAUUGUGCUGCCACUUCAACAAAGAUCUUAGACCUUUUCUUUUUAAUAGAAAAAUAUUGUUUUAAAUAAGUCUUACAAAUGAAUCUGGACAGGAGUAACCAUGGGACAUGAUCCCUAAAGACCCCACAUAGUCACAUUUUUUCUAUGGAUAUUUCUUAAGUGCAAGAAAAUAUGAACCCAUCAUUAUUCUUUUGGCUAUUCUCACCAAAAAUAUUGCUACGUGCAUUUGUAGGGCACAAUGCCCUUAAUUCAUUUGUUACAAAUGCCUAAUAAUUAGAAAAUUUUACUAUUUAAUUUCUAUUUUAUGAAAAAAUUUAUUAAAAUUUUAAAAUACAUUAAAAAUAUUUUUAAAAUUUUAAAAAAUUUAUUAAUUAAUAUUUUCAUUAAUUUUAACCGAUACUCCAUUAAAAUUUACAAAUAUGUAUAUACCCUUGUUUAUGACUGGUUUACACGGUGUAUUGAAGUAGGAAAAGAAGAAAAGAAACAGCAUAGGAGUUUCUAGUUAAAAAAUGAGUUAAUGACGCAGAUGUCAGAACGAUGUAUAAAUUAAUUUUGAGACGUGGAAGAAAAAUACUUUUUAAAUUAAUUAUUCUCGCUAUAUUUAGUGUAGGAUUGUAGCACUAUUUUUGCAGGAUAUAAUAAAGUCAGUCAAGAAAAUCAUAUACAAUAAUUCUAUUUUCAUAAGAAAUUCAAAUUGAGGAUUUAAGAAAAAAAAAGAGUUUGGAGUAUUGUGACGAUUGGAGAUAUAUUUUCAAAUAGAUACAUUUGAGUAAUCAAUUAGCAUUUCAGAUUAAAAAAAUAUUUAUCAAGAAUGAUAUUUUUCUCAAUUAACCAUGUGUAAAAAAAAACUUAUUAGAGAAUAAUAUUUGACUGAAUUAAUCACAUGCCACGUGUAAAUAAAAAAUAUCAAAAGAUAAUUUUGUUUAAAUAGCUCAAAUGCCGACCUUUGAUUUAUAAUAUAAUUUAUCAAUUUUAAAUUUUUUCUAAAAUGUUCCUCUAAAACUUUUAUAAUAUAAUUAAUCUCGGAUGGUUACAUGUCAUCCCUCGUAAUUUUAUAUAGUCUAUUAUAAUACUAAGAUCUAUUAGUUUAAAAAAAUUACAACUUUGCGAUUUUUCAUAUUUAUAUUAAAAUUUUUUAUUUUUAAUAAAAAUUUUAACUUUUAAAUUUAUUAUAAUUAUAAUAAUUUUUUAAAUUAAAUUUAAUUAAAUUUAAAUUAAUUUGCACGUCGCACUAUGUCCUAUUAUUUUUAUCAAAUAACUUGAAAAUUUAACUUUAAUUAAUAUCCUAAACUUUUAAUAUAUAAAUUUUGAGAUUAUAUAAUUGAAAUACUUAAUUUUUCUUGCUUAAAAAAUAAUAUUAUUUAGAGAUUUUAGAUAAUUAGGAGUUUAAAAUCUUAACUAAAUUUUAAUUUAAGUUAAUCAAUUGAUUUUUAUAAUAAAAAUAAUGAUAAUUGGUGUGUCAUAUAAAUUAAAAAGAAAUAGAAAGAGAAAGUGAUACGUAGAGAGAAAAAUGAGAAAAGAGGCGAGUUAGAAGAGAUUAAAAUAAAAGAGUAUUAACCCUCUUAAUUUGUUUUAUCAAAUUAUCUUCUUUUUUCAGUUUAGUUAAUUUAAUAAAUAAAAAAGGAGAGAGAUAUAGAUAUGAAAGGAUAAAAAAUAAAUACAGUGACUCUCCUUACUCUCCCUUCCUCUCAUUUUGUUUUUUGUUUAACCUUCUCUCUCUAAAGCUCUAUGUCUCCCUAUUCGCUGUUUAUAUAUCUAUUUUCAUUAUUUUUUUCUUCUAAUUUUCUAAUUUUAACUUCUUAAUAUUUACAAAUUAAAUUUUAUUUUAUAGUCAUUAAUUCAGAAUAUAUACUUUCAAAUUUUUACAUUUAAAACUAUAUAAUAAUCAGUAUCAUAAUAGAUGACGUGAAGUCUACAUAGAAUGUCAUGUCAUCGUCUAAGAUAACAUGGUAUAUCAUAUAAUGCUACAUUAUUCAUGAAGCUGGCGUGGUAAUAAAAUAUUAUGAAUCAAAUCAGCUAUCUCAUAUAGCAUAGCAAAUACCUUUUUAUUUUUAAGAAGUUAGUUUCAUAUGACUUACUGUAAAUUAAAAAAUUAAAUAAAAUUACAUUAAUAUCUUAGAUUUUCAAAAAUUUAGAUAAAUUUUUUGCAAAUUUUGAGAACUUGAGAAGCUAUGCCAAGAUUUAAUCGUUAAAUUAGAUUAUGAAACUGAAAAAAGUUUGAGCUAUUUUGUAACUUAGACUAUAUUUUUAACAUGUUUCUAUUCAGUAGGUCAUAAUUUUAGAGAAAAAAAAAAUCUAUCAAUUAUCUAGGUUAAGAAAAACUUUUCAUGUAAAAAUUAGAUUCAUAAUAAAUAAAAUCUAAGUAACUUUUUUUAAUAAUAUAUAAAAAAUAUAAUUAAUCAAAAUUUUAUUUGAUAACAAUUGAGAGUUUAAUUGGUAAUAAAUUUAUUAAUUAGGGAAUAGUUUGAUUAGUCUUUCUUCCUUUUUAAAAUAUAAUCUAUCCGUUAUAUUUGACUUUUAUAGCCGUUUCAAAUAAAAACAAGGGAAUUAGUAAGUGAUUUCUGCAUCAUAUGCCCUUCAAUUCGAUUAUUAAUUUGCUGAAAUUUAAUAUGAUGUUAUUAUAAUAUUUUGAAUUUAAACUUAAAUUUCAAUUAUUUAAAUAUUUAGUUGAAAUAAAUUAAUAAUUUUUAUUGAUAAGAUAAAAAAAAUUUCCAGCAUAAGAGAACAAAAAAAAAAAACUAGCAUAAUUCAAUUUACUCCACUAAUUUAAAACAUAUAUCACAUGUACCUUAAAAUUAAUAAAUUAAAAUAGACCACCUAUUGUUAAUUAAUUAAGGAUAACUAAAUUUUUUUUUUUUUUAUAGUUUUUUUUUCUCAGCAAGAAAUUAAGGGAUUUCAAAGUUAAAAUAUCCCAUAUAUUAAUUUGUGGGAUUAUCAUUUUUUUUGUAAGAGUUAUUUCACUACAUAUUACAAAUUUACAAUCGACUGAAUAUAUAUUUAAAAUCUCUAUACUAAUUAGGAAUAGGUCCUAACCUAUUAAAUAUUUUAAUUAAAAUUAUCAUUUAUUAAAUAUUUGAAUUUAAUAAUUAAAUACAAAUUAUUUAUAUUAUUGAUAAUUUUUAAAAAUAAAAAAUAAAAAAUUGAUUAUACAUAUUUAAUUGUGUUCUAAAUUUUUAUAAAUUCUUUUUAUAAAUUAUAAUUGAUAUAAUUAAUUUCUAUUUAAAUGCCAUAAUUUUUUUAUAAAUAUAAAUAUUUAAUAAAUUAUAAUUUUAAUUCAAAUAUUUAAUAAAAUAAUAUAGAAGUACAUGAAUUUAGCCAAUUAUAAUUUAUAAGGUAAGUUUUCACAGCUUAAUGUGACAAUUUUUGUUUUUUUUUUUCAGAAUUUCUGAAAAGAAAAAAGCAGUGCAGUCGGUGGAUCCAUAUGGCCACUGAUGUUAUGUAGUAUUCGUUCAAAAUAAGUUAUGAGAUUUCACCACGAAAUAGAAGUCACGUGAUAGAGAUUUUACAAGUGGAAAGUGCGGUUAUGCUCGAGGAUAGGGAGACCCGAACACUUUAAAUAUCCAGAAUACCGUCAUGACUAGUUCAUCUCCCGAUAGGCUGAGUCAGGACAUGAAGUUACUAUUAUCAGGCAUACUCCCAUCUCACCUGAGAUCGGGGGAUUACUAGCUUACGAGCUGGCGAUGUUCCUUAUUGAGAAUCUGACGAUGAUAAUGCUAUGUCUAUCUCCUUUUUGCAGUAUAAAAGGAGAAUAAUCGCAGAGAUAAAGAUACGCUAUUUCCAAUACUACUUAAACUCUAAAUAGUCCAUUACAUUCUCUUUUCUCUUUAAGAUACUAACUUGAGUAUCGGAGUGGCUACCGUAAGUACCCAUUACUACCUCACGUUUCCUCUCUUACAGGUUGUGGCCAAUCACAGCACAACUCCAUUCCGCCUACGUCAUCAAUCUAAUCUCAGUAAUAUCAUUUGGUUCCACUGUUGAGAGAUCCAUUAAACCCUCUUUUGGAUCACAACCGAUUUUCUAUCAUUUUUUCUCACUCAAAAUAGCCGAAAGCCCUACAACUGCUAACAAUGUCGCUACCAACGAGGGAGCCAUCGUUUCCUUUGUCUCAGAUAACCAGGAGAACACGUCUCCAGUGAUUAAUGAAGUAGACCUUAAUAAUUUAAACAAUGAAUAAAUACUCUACUAUAUCCAAAGGUUGCAAGCUACUCUCAAGCAGUAUAAGACUUGGAAAGACUCGGGAAGAGGCAUUUAAGAUGGACCCUGGAAGAAGAGAUGAAACCUUCAUAGACACUCCAAGGGCCUAGACGAAAGUGGGUAAAUUGCAACAUAAAGGUAAGUCUGAAUUUGAAGAUGAAUCAGAUGAGGUUCCGAAAGGAGUGGAUUGGAAGCUAGUAUGGACUGUACAAAGAUACCAAAAAGAACGGGAAGAGAAUUUCAGUUUAGAUGGGAUCUCCUCUCUUUCGAAAGAAAUACCAGUAGAAACCUUUUUCGCCAAGUUCAAGUUGCCCAGUUUAGAUAAGUACGACGGAACGGUAGACUCCCGAAGCCAUCUAGCCAUUUUUAGGAUGACCAUAAAACUUCAAGAUGUAAAUGAUUUUGUAUUAUGCCGAGUGUUCCUAUCGAUACUCACGGGUUCAGAAAUGGUAUCAACACCUAAGCCCAGUUUAAUCCAAAACUUUACAUAGUUUGCUAUAAUAUUCAAAUCUAGAUUUAUUACUUGUAUACCUCUAAAAAAAACUUUCCUCGGACCUACGGAAGAUCCUCUAGGAAGAGGGCGAGUCUUUAAAGAGUUUUAUUUCCCAUUUCAAUGUUGAAGCCAUACAGGUGGAAGAGUUGAAUCAUGAGAUAGCAUGUGAGGUGUUGAAGAAAGGGACUCGUAAUGUCAAGUUCAUAGAUUCCUUAAUAAAAAAAUCCAGCAACAACAUACCAACAGUUGAUAGAUAAAGUCCAAAAGUAGAUCAGGUUGGAUGAUGAGAUCGAGACACUAAAAGAAGACAAGAAAGCAAGUCCAAAGCUAAGUCAAAGUUUGAGAGACAAGCCCAUGAAAGGGGAUCACAUAAGCUACUUCAUAUGGUGAAAGAAGGAUGAACAAUGUAAGUAUAAGAAUUACACCUUGCUAAAUGACUCAUGAACUAAUAUCUUGAUGUGAAUCAGGAAGAAUAAUAAAAAAAUCAGAUGGCCGCCUAAGCUUAAUCCCAAGAAGGCGGACAAAUGGGACAACACUAAAUAUUAUCGCUUCUACGAAGAUCAUGGCCACACAACGGAAGAAUGUCAACAAUUAAAGGAUGAGAUCGAGAGACUCAUAAGGGAUGGGACCCUUCGAAAAUUCAUGAGAAAAGGAAAAGAAGAGCAAAAGUCAGAGCCUGAGGAAAUAACUCUUGAGACGACUCCUGAUAGAGAACCCGUGUGUAAUACCCGGCUAGAUUCCGGCAUUGGAAUUCCUACCUUCCGGCGGAAUCUUCUUUGAAAUCUAGAAUUCUGAAGAUGCUAGAGUCUUCUAGAGGCGUAAAAUGUGUUUCUAAAAUGUUUUCACAUGAUUUUUAUAGUUUUAAAUGAAAAAGGAAUUGAGUUUUAAAAAGAAUAGGCCAAGGAGGAAGGACCCAGGUUCGGCCGCCGAACAUAAGGCUGUUUCGGGAGUGCUUUAGGCCUCCAAAAGUCUUGAGGGUAUAAACCAGGUUCGGCCGCCGAACCUCAAGUUCGGCCGCCGAACAUGGGAGAGUUUAGGAGGCUCGUUCGGCUGCCGAAGGUGGUGAAGCUGCGGAAGCAGCUUAGGCCGCCGAAGGUCGUUGACCGGCCACCUAUAAAAGGCCCUCAGACCGAAAAUGGGCGAGUUUUCUCCCCAUUCUCGAGCUCAGGUGUGUUCACGUCCUCCUUUGGUCGUUUUCAUGCUUUUUCUUCAACUCCUUUAUGUUUUUAUGAGUUUCAUGGUUGUUUUAAAGAGUUUUAAAGCUUAGAUCGAAGUUUUGGAGCUUGGAGAUCUUUGGAGCUUGGGUUCUCCAUACCUUCAAGUUAGGAUCGUACCAACCCUCGAUCUUCAAGAGGUAAGUGUAGAUCCUGGCUUUCCUUUAUGUUUUAAUGAAGUUUUAAGAGGUAUUAAUGCUUGUGUAUGGGUAGAUAUGCAUGUUAGGAUUUAUGUGGAUUUUAUGCCCAAUGUAUGUUAUGUGAUGUUUGUGUUGGGGUUUUAAGUUGGUUUAUGCCCCUAUAUGCAUGUGGGAGUGUGUUUGCAUGUUGGGAGAGAGCAUAUAAGGUGUUGGAUUGUUUUGGGUGUUUGGAAGGCUUGGGAGGCUUGUUUGUGCAUGAGGCUGAGUUCUGGAUGAACUCAGGUUCGGCCGUCGAAGGUAGUUUCGGCCGCCGAACCUGCCUGUGGAUGCAUGGUUUGGCCGCCUAACCUUGCCUCCGAAAGUUGAGUUUCGGAUCUGGAGCAGACUUUCGACCGCCGAAGGUGCCGCCAAAAGUGCCUAACUUUCGGCUUUGGAAGGGACAUUCGGCCGUCGAAGGUGCCUCCGAAAGUGCCCUGUCCAGCCUUUUCUUGGGUGUUUUCUAUACAUGCUUUGGUGAUGUUUUAGGAGGGUUUUUGGGGAAUUGUUUAUGAGUUGUUUAGAGUGUGUUUGGCACCUCAUUCGAGUCCACCUGUGUAGGAUCGGACCCGAGGGACCGAGGAGGUCAGCAGUGUUAGCUGUUGCAGAGUCAGUCCAGCGUCUGCCAGAGGUGAGUAGAACUGAACCUCACGUUUUUAAAUUAAAUCAAAUGCCUAAAGCAUGUUCAUGCAUCAUGUUUUUAUGUAAUAGGUUGAUUGCACUAGUUUCACGAAUAUGACGCAUUGCAUUAUUUACUGUUGAUGUGGAUGGACCAAGGCGACUUCAAUAGCCCAUAGAUCUGUCAUGAUUGAAAGUCCUGUGUGAGCUCCUUCGGGGGCCGGGCAUUGAAAGUUCUGUGUGAGUCCUUUGAGAGCCGGGCAUUUGAUGGAUAAGUCCUGUGUGAGCCCUUUUAGGGUUGGGCACCAUGCUAUGUGUUGAAAGUCCUGUGUGAGCUCUCUGUGGACCGGGCAUCGACAGAGGAAGUUUUGAGGUCAUGUCCAAUCCGUGAUGUGAAUUGUUUGUGCUGUGACGCAUUUCAUGACAACAUGUAAUUAAUGAACUGUUUUUUUUUAUUGUUUCUACUCACUGGGCUUUUUAGCUCAUCCUUCUCCCCUAAUCCCAGUUUUACAGGUCAGAGGUAGUCCAGGAAGACGUCAAGGGUAAUGUCAUGCUUAUGUAAUAGAUUAGUGUUUUAGUGUGGACAUGUAAUGUAAAUUGAUAUAAUGUAUUGUAAGCUAAUGAAAUGUAAUGUAAUUUAACGUAAAGCAGAGUUAUGUUUUGGAUUAGUAUUGUGCUUGGCCCUAAGGCUUGGUUAGUCCCUUUUUAGUACAUGAUGUAUGUAAUGGUUUAAUGUUGAGUUGUGUGUGAACCAAACUUGUGGCAUGUGAUGUUACCACGCUAGAGUAUUUGAUGAGGACCCUAGUGGAGGUCUUAUGUUUAUGGUUUUGAGGCAUGCACAGGUUAGGUUUUGGUUCAUCGGAUGUGAUCCGAGCUUGAGGUAUGUAAUGUUGACCCAGCUAGAGCUUCGAUGAGGACUCUAGUAUGGGGUUUUUUUUAUAUUUACAGUGAUGUAGCAUGCAGGUCAAGUUCGGUAUAUACAUCCAAUGUUUAAGUUUUUAUGUUAAUGUUUUGAUCAUGUAUGAGAUUUGACCAGGUGAUAAGAUGUAUGUUAGGUUUGCUACGGGUCCCGGCGGCCUUAAGCCGAUCUGAAUCCUAGCGCCGAUAGCGGUCCGGUUUUCGGGUCGUUACACCGUGAGAGUCAUACACGUGAUAACAAAAGGACCCGAUGAGGUAUAGACAAGAUUACAAACUUAGUUACUAGAAAGGUGGGGAACUUUAUAAGUUUGGGGAAAACAUUUGCCCAUAAGGGUCAUCCACCCAAAGUAUCCGUUCUGGUAUUGUUGACAUUUUGACAAGUAAUUUAGUUUUACCCUCGUAUAUAAACGAAUGAUAUUCUUUUAAUAAUAAAGUCAAUAAAGUAUUUUUACAUGGUAUAUUCUUAGGUCCCAAGGCGGUUUCCGCCAGACCACUCCGGCAUUGGUCCCAUGAAUCAAGGCCACAAGGCAAAUCUUAGCCAGGCCAGGUCACAAGGUGGUUCCCGCCAGAUCGUUUGGGCAUUGGUCCCUUGAGUCAAGGCCACAAGGUAAAUCUUCGUAGCGCCAGGUCACAAGGUAGUUCCUGCGAGACCACUCGGGCGUUGGUCUCAUGAGUCAAGGCCACAAGGCAAAUGUUCUAUCUGUCAUUAGGUUGAAAGCUUUGUUGUGAUUUGUUUGAGGGGAGAAUAGAGUUGGGGCUUUGACAUAGCUUGGUAAUGACUUCGAGUGUAAUAUUUUCCCUGCUUGUCUGAGUGGGAGCAAUUGUAUUUCACUCGUUUAACUUCUCUCCCUUAUAAGUAUGACAUUUUUCCUGCCAGACCACUCGGGCGUUUGUCUCAUGAGUCAAGGCCACAAGGCAAAUGUUCUAUCUGUCAUUAGGUUGAAAGCUUUGUUGUGAUUUGUUUGAGGGGAGAAUAAAGUUGGGGCUUUGACAUAGCUUGGUAAUGACUUCGAGUGUAAUAUUUUCCCUGCUUGUCUGAGUGGGAGCAAUUGUAUUUCACUCGUUUGACUUCUCUCCCUUAUAAGUAUGACAUUUUCAAAUGUCUGCAACUUCCUCUUGGGGCCGAUUGUUAGUUAUGGUAUAUAUCGACUUAUUUCUUUCAUUUUUUGCUUUCUCUUUCUUUGACUAAAUUUUUCAUAUUUAUGGUUUGCAGAUUCCAACAUUCCAAUGGGUGAGACCACAACGCCCAGGAAUUUCACAUUGUCCAGGAAUUUCAUCAAGCAAGCUGUUGAGCAGUUCACUGCUCGAAAGACUAUGGAGGUCAUUCACGAUACCCUUGGUCUUGAUACCAAGUAAGAGGAGAAUACAUGAGCUGUGACAAUCAUGGGUCCUCCUCAAAUACAACCGCUGAGGAGGAUGUUGUGGAGACUGUAGAGAAAAUAGGCGUUGGGAAAAUAGUUAAAGAAAAGGGUUGUUAAGCAAAUGACUCAUGAAGGAGAUAACCCUCGCAGUCCUCUCGAUACCUCUACUAUCCAAGUUCUCCCAUACGACCACUCCUCAGAAGGGGAGGAUGAUGCUUCAGAUGGCUUAAUGAGGAAGAGUUCUCAGGCCACUCCUCAAAGGUUUGACCCUCCUUAGCCUCAAAAAAAGAAAAGGAGAUUGGUCAAAGAAUCUCAGCUGCAUAAGUCUCCUAGCAAAGGGGUCUCCUCAGGCAGUCGCGCAGGAAACACCUUUGAUACGGUAAGGGAGCCUAUUUAUCGACGUCAGUAUAGAGUUGCCUCAGGCCCCUGAUUCCUUAUGAGUCGGGGGUUGCUGAUACUCUGAACCAAGAGUUGACCCUUACUUCUAUUGCAGAGCUUCUCCGUAACCAUGUCUUUAGGUUUUAUCCUGAUAUUUGUGAUCCUUGGCUCUUGGGGACCUUUUGUCAUCUGGUUAAGUCUAAUGUGCAACCAGAGGCUAGCAGCUUAAAGCCUGUUGAAGAGAUUUUUGCUGACUCUAAGAGAUAACUUUUCUUGGUACCUUCUCUAUUUACUUAUUUUGCAGACUUCUACUUUCGUUAUUAUGCUAAUUGUCUGUUUGUGUUUAUAGGUCCUUAGUGCCCUUGUUGAGUUGGAAGAAAAGAUGAAGGGUGCCCAAGAGGUUGCUCUUGCUGAAGUUGAGAGGAUUAGGCAAGAGAAGGCUGCUCGUGUUGUCGCCUUGCUAAAAGGGGAACAUGAGGUUGAGGUAAGGAGAUUAGACAAAUUAUUUGAGUAGAGCCAUCUUUAGAACGACUGAGCUACUCAACUAGAGCCAAUUGGCCAAAGAGCGGUCUGAGGCGAUAGCUCAAUUGUCCAAGCUCCAAGUUGAUGUAGAGCUAAAAAUUAAGGGCUUUCUUUUGCAAACUAUCCAUCUCGAGGGUGAGCUUUUGAAGAUGUCUGAAGAUAUGAAGCAAGCUCAUCAUCACUUGGAAAAGUCUUGAGAGGAUGUUCGCACUAAUGAAGCUAUGAAGAAUCAAUAUAAACUGGAGGUAGCCGAGCUCUCUACUCAUUGUAAGGAAUAUGAGGCAGCCAUAGUGGAUAUGCGUAAGAAAACUGAGGGCGUCUUCAGGACCAUGUAUCAAAAAUACCUGCAGCCUGAUGAGCACAAGUCUAAAAUUCUCAACUCUGCUAUGCGUUUUUAUGCUAAUGGCUACAACUUGGGGCUAAAGGUCGAUCAUGAUGAGCCAAGCAAGCCUCUUAGUACUCUUCGACUGGUUGAGUGUGAUUUUGAUGGUAAGGACGUGCGAUAUGGUCCUGACGAAUUUCUAAUUGAGAAGCUUGCUAAGACUCCUACCUUGAGGACCUCUGUCUCCAACACUCUUGCAUCCUCUUCUCGAGGUGCCCUAGAAAAAGAUAGUGAUCCAACUAAUCAGAUGAUUGUUAAUCUCACUGCUCUAGAGGCCAUAAAUGCUAAAGUUUCUCCCUCAAGAGAGGUUAUUAUUAUAGACCUAACUAUCGAGGCUGCUCAUGAAACUCUUGCCAUCUCCAGGUUUGAGCCUAACCUGGCUGGUGAACUUUCUUCCUCUGAGAAAGUUUAAGAGUAAUUAUUUGUAAAUAUAUGGCAGACUUAUUUUUUUUUUGCCAUUUUUAGUAUAUAGUUUUUAGUUUCUUGUAAUACACAUCUUUUUAUUAAUGAAAUUGCUUUUGUUUCUUGAUUGCUAUUCGAUAUUAAAAUUCAUUUUCUGCCCUUCUAUUGGACUUUGGUUUCCUAUUGGGUAUAAUCAACUCUUUCGUUUGUAUGAUAUCUUAAUGUUUUAUUAGGUUGGUAGGUCAUUUAUAACUUAUUUUAGCCUUAUGGCGUGUCGGGAUGAUGAUACUUAAAAUUCAUAUAAACGAAAAGUGUAACAGACAAACUAUUUGAUAAAGAUCAUAAAAAAAAAAAACAAUCGCAAGUUACGAAAUGGAAUCUUUGAUCUAUGUUUUUUUUUGAAAAAAAAAAAAUUUCAAAGGGCCAUGAUAUCUUUCACUUUUUCUUUUUGUGUUACCAAUUCACACUCCUUUUAGAAAGGACCUUUUACACUUUUCAAGACCUGAAAUGUUUUUCCAAGUUGUUUAGAUCUUUUAUCAUUUUCGAGGCUUUUUAACUAUGAGUAUUUUUUUCGAGAUCUUUGGCUCUUUCUCUCUCUCUCUCUCUUUUUUUUUUUUUGUAUUCCAGGCUCUUUCACCUUGAGUUUUUUUUUUCAAGCACUUCAGCUCUUUAGCCCUGAUUACGUUUUACGAGCAUUUUAGCUCUUUAUUAGGCUCUUCAGCUUGGGGUGUUCUUCCAAAUACUUAGGCUCUUUGUAGUCUUUCGAGCUCUUUAGCCCUGAUUCUUCGUCUGAGCUCUUGGGCUCCUUGUCUUCCGGGAUCUUUUAGUCUUAAGUCUUCUUCUGAGAAAUUAGUCCCUUUGUAGUCUUUUGAGUUCUUUAGCUCUGAUUCUUCGUUCGAGUUCUUUAGUCCUGAUUCUUCGUCUGAGCUCUUGGGCUCCUUGUAGUCUUCUUCGCUCUUUUAGCCUUAAGUCUUUUUUCGAGCACUUAUGCCUUUUUUAGUCUUUUGGGCUCUUUUAGCCUUGAGUCUUCUUUCGAGCACUUAUGCCCUUUUUCAGUAUUCUGGGCUCUUUUAGCACGAGUCUUCUUCCGAGCACUUAGGCUCUUUAUUGUCUUUUGGGCUCUUUAGCCUCGAGUCAUCGUCCGAGCUCUUUUGCUCUUUAUAUUCAAGCUCGUAACUCUACUGGCAAUUUCAAGUAUUCACGCUCGUGGCCUUACUAGUGAUUUUUGAGUAUUCAGGUUUGUGCCCUUAUGGCGAUUUCUGAGUAUUCAGGCUUGUGGUCUUACUGGCGAUUCUAAGUACUUUAUGCUCAUGGUCCUACUGGCAAUUUCUGAGUAUUUAGGCUCGUGGCCCUAUUGGCAAUUUCUGAAUAUUCAGACUCAUGGCUUUACUGGUGAUUUCUAAGUAUUCAGGCUCAUAACCCUACUGGUGAUUUCCUCGUAUUCAGGCUCAUGGCCCUAUUGGAAAUUUUUGAGUAUUCAGACUCAUGGCCCUACUAGCAAUUUUCAAGUAUUUAGUCUCGUGGCAGCGAUUUCUAAGUAUUCAGGCUCGUGGCCCUAUUGACGCUUCCAGGCUUUUAGCCUUGCUUUAUAUUUGUGUACAUUGGCCCUUAUUUUUCCUUCAAAAUUUAUCUGCAAAAUAAAAGUUUGCACAAUAUAUAUGCAACGAAAAUACAUGUUGUGAAUUUGAUAGUGUUUAUCAAUAAAUAGUAUGUCUAACAAAAAUAUUUAGCUUUAUAUUUCAAAUGAAUAUAAAUAUUAAUUUUGACCAACAAUAUUGACUCAUACGAUUUCAAGGAGUCUAAUAAAUAAUAUUUUGCAUGUGUGAAGUUCAUCAACGAUUUUCAAUUCAUAAUGUAAUAUGUCUAAAUACACAAUUCAUUUUCUUAGAAAUGUUCAUGUUGAUUUCAACUAAUAAUAAAAUUUUUAUGCUGAGCUAAAAUACUAUAAUGAGUGUAAACAUUAAAAAUUUCAUCUAAGAUUUAACUUAUGUAAUCAGUCAUGAUAACAAAAUGUUUUGAUCUAGAGAAGCAACUAUACAACUUUGUUAAAUCACGCACAUCACUUUUCUCCCAUGAUUAGUUGACUGUCUCUGUGCCGUACUCCUUCUCACAUCCACAUCUUCUUUUAUCAGGCUUUCACCGUGUGGCUUCUAGAUUUAGCCGGUGGUUCCCUGGUCUUUUCACAAUCUCUUUUCCUUCCGGUUCCUCCUGUUGCUUUUAUUAGCUUUUCUCGAUUUGCCAUGUGGAUCUCAAUGGGUUUAGUUUGGAAACUCUUAUGAUAGAAUAAUCUCAUUCGUUUCCCACAGAUGGGGUCAAUUGAUGAAUUGAGAUCUAAUGGGGUCACCAGAUGCGGACACUUGGAUCGUAGUUUGAUUCCAUGAAAAAAUCAAUGAAUUAUGAUUGGUUCGAUGAGCUGUGAAUGUCUUUGAGAUCUCAUAUGGUUCCCUCCACGCUUGAUUUUGAGGGAGAGGCUUACAAAAUAUGGGAAAAUAGUCAGGAGUUUACUGAGGAUGCCCCGGUGAAAACUCUCCGACAUUCAAAUCAGAUCUAGAAUUUCUAGAGUGAUGUAUUCAUGGAAAGAGAUGCAAAGAGAAAUAAAAUAGAGAAGAGAAGAGAAAAAGGAAGCUUCAGAGGGAGAGAAAAAAAAGAAAAGAAGAUGUGUCCGAGAGUAUGUGUGUGUGAGAGAAAGGGUUGGAAAGUUAGAGUGCUUUUCUUUGGGUUAGAUUAGUGAUCCUUGUAUCAUGUCCCAUCGGACUGGACUAGAAUGUACUUUUACAAGUGUAUCAAGCGGUUUAUUAAUGAUAGGCAAUUGGCUAAUAAUGUAAAGCCGACGAACCAAUAUCUCGUUUACUAGUGGCGUCACAUCAGUCUAUUUUAUCUGAAUGCACAUUUAUGGUCUUGGUGACAUAUCAAGAAAACAACCAAUGCGUAGGAGGUUGGCAUCUUACUAUGGUCUUUUUGAUUAGGCUUGUAUCCAAUACCGAACCUUGAAGAAGUCUGCCUGUCUAUUCUGGGCUUUGAUAGAGUCAGAGGUAUUGCUCUAAUUUUAUACCUCAUAGAUCGGAUUUUCUGCAGUCCGAUCAGACCAGACAGUGAAAUUCAUAGAAUUCUUCUAAAUUCUGUAUACAUAUAUUAUAAUUUCAAAGGGUCCUAUUAUUUAUAUGUUAUCAAAAUUUAUUUUAAAUCCUAUCAUGACCCUAUUUUAAUAGAAUUUAAUGAGACUAGGUAUCAGAAAAUAUCAUAACUCUUUAGAAGAAUGUAAAAACAAAUAAGAAAAAGAUUUAAAAAUUCAUGGGAAGAUGUCAGAAGUUGCAUGAUAUUAUCAUUGAUGGUAAAUCCACUUGUCAAAUAAUCUAAAAAAACAAAAGGAGUUGAGAUUAGCUGAAUGAAGACAGAAACCUUAACUUUCCUCUUCGGGUCCCAUUUUGUAAUUCUUCAAAGCGAUAAGUCUCUUUCAAUAUUUUCUUCCACUUUUUUCAAACACGCACACCUCUCCGUAUUUUCCAACACCGCACCAGCUCAGAACAAAAUCAAACUCCAAUGGAUGAUCCUCUUCAUCCUCAAAGCUGUUGAUUCUGACAAUGAACAUCGUCAACAUCACCAAGAAUCUACGAAGGGUUUUUAAUGAUGUAUGAAUUUUGAUGUUGAAGUCGAUUCUUGUCAUGGUUCUGCUUGCUCUCUCUCUUCUCCUGUUACCGGUGGUUUUGCCGCCAUUAUCUCCGCCGCCGUUGUUGUUCUUGUUUAUUCCUGUUUUUAUCAUGAGUCUGCUCAUUUUCUUGGCUUUAUCUCCUUCAUAUGAACCCAACAUCGCUGUUAAUACUGUUUGAUACAAAAGGGUAAUUGAUCUCAUCUCAUGUCUUAAUUCACGAAAAAAGCUUCGGAGGAUGGAUGGCUGAAAGAUCAAGCCGUCGGCGAGUCUCUCUAAGAAGAAGAAGAUGAUGAACUGUGGUAUUAGAUAUGUAACUGUGAGUUCUUUUUGCACUGAAUUUCCAUUUUCUUGAGUGAUCUUCUGGUGAAGUUUAUUCAUUUUUUCUAUGUUCAUAUUCUAAAAAAUUAACCAUGGUUUAAUUUUCUCUCCUUCUUUUUGUUUUUUUUUUUCAAUUUUUCAAGGAAAAGAUAUGAUCUGGAAUCUAUUUUUCCCUCUGAAAUGGAAACUUAUUGAAAAAUAUUAUGAUGCUAAAGAGAAAGAAGCAUUAUCAUUUUGUUAACUUUAGGCAGGAGGAGCAUUAUUUUAUGCAAAAAAAAUGGCAAACUUAAUAGAAAAGGUGAGAAAUUUGCAGUAAUGUUUAAUUAAUAGUCAAUCAUUUUAAUUUUGGAUCACAAACUCAGACUCUAAAAUUGAAUUAGGAAAAUUUACAUUUUUUCACUAAAGUUAUAAUUAUAAUAAUAAACCCCCUUAAAUUUUAUUAUCUUUAUUUUACAAAACAAAAAUGAUAAUGCAAUGAACUUUGAUACAUAUUCAUAGAAACCCAUUUAUGUCUUGGAUAGAGCUUAGGUACAGUUGUAAGUUAAGUCUGUUGAUUAUCAUAAUUGAAAGUUCAAUUAGGAAAAGUUUUAAUUUUUCUACAUUAAUUUUGACUUUUAAUUAUGAUUAUAUUCCGCUCACAGACUUAGUCUAGUGGUAAAUAUAUUUGAAUAAAUUUGAGAGAUCAAUUUUAUUAUCCCAAUUUUCAUUUUUCAAAUUUAAAUCCCUUUAUUCAUCUGGUUAUAAUAAUUAUGGGCGGAAGUUUAGGAUUUUUUUUCCUUUAUUUUUUCUAAUAUAUUGGGACCUUCAAGUUGAAGGCAGAACUAGUGCAUAUAGUUAAUCAGUACUCCUUUGGUGGCGGAAGGUACUAAACAGGUAAAGCUGGUGAAUUCUGUUGACGACGGAUAAACAUGUAAACAAGUUAAGUGUUUUGUUAAGAUUUUAAAAUAGCAGUUACCAGCUCUAAUUGUAAAGCUAUUUUUCAUCAGGUGGUAAUUAAUUCGAUUUUAUUUUUUUAUUUAGAUUAUAUUACUCUUUUUAAAUUUUUUAAAUUAAAAUUUUAUAUUAAUAAAUCAUUUAAAAAUAUAAAAUAUAUUAAAUAAAUCUAAACAUAUUAUAAAUAACAAUUAAAUUAAUCAAAAUAUUCAUCCUUUUACAAGAAAGGAUAUUUAUAUUCAUAAAAAAAUAAAAAAUAUAUUUUAAUUAUUAUUAUAUAUGUUGCGAAUUAAUAAUUUUAUGUAUAUAUUAUUAAGAUGAUAAAUUAAGACAUACAUCAUUUUACAUAUUAUUAAUAACAGGUAGAAAUAGUUUAGUAAACACUUAGUAUAUAUUAAUUAGAAUCCAUAAUCGCUGCUAAUUAUAUAUUAUAAUUAAAUCAAUAUUCACAGAUUUAAACUAAAUUUGUUGGUAAGUAUAUCUGAGAAGUCUCAGAUUCUACUCCUCCAAUCUCUAAUCUCAUUUCAACGAAAAAAAAAAAAUCAAACAUCUCCUUAUCAUUUAGAAAUUGUUUCGAUUUUAGUUUCUGAACCACUGAUUACUAAAUCGGAGUUUAGGUUAAGAAAAUUAAUAUCUAUACCCAAAUAGAGACUAUUUGAUAAGCGAUUUGGAAUUGGAUGAUUCAUGAGGAUUGGAAGGAAAUAUAGGACUAUUUGAGACAGUUUGAAAUAAAAACUUAUGGUUGGAGGAUUUUUAUUUUAUUUUUAAAUUAAAUUACGGAUUGAACAUGUUUUUCAAGUUUCUGAUUCUAAAUUUUGAAAAUCUUGCAUUUGAAUGAAAAUAUAAAAAUAUUUUUUCGAUUUAAUUUCAUCAUAGUCUCUAAUUUUUCUUUUAAUUUAUAUUAUAAUCUCAAUUUUAAUUAGAUUUAAAAUGUUUUUGAACCGUCUGUUUUAACGAAAAAUAAAUCGUAAAUAUAUUUUAAGUCGUUUAAUAAAUAAUUUUUUUUUACAUUUUAUUUUAUUUUUAUAAAUUAAAAAAUCUUAAAAAGAAAAAAAGAAAUGGAUAGGAAAUUCUAUGUUUUGAGAUUUUGUUGGAAUAAUAUAUGAUUAUGUGUUUUAUUAAAUUAUCUAAUUAAAAAUUAUGAAGAAUUUUAGUUUAGAAUUCUUCUUCAAAACUAUAAAGACUCGAAUUCUAAUGUAAAUUACUAUUUAAUUCAUUUAAUUUGUCAUACUCAAUGACUAGUUGCCUAUUGAAAACUCAAUUCUCUUGUCUUGAAGUUAAAUUCCAUCAUUAAUUUCAUCCUUAUCCUUAUUAAUUUACGGCAAAAACAGUCAAAUGAGAAAUAAUGUAUUUUUAUUGUUUUAUGUUAAGAUAGGAAAUUUAAUGAUAUUAUAAACUAUACAUAUUUCACAAUUACUAAUUUAAUUCGGUGUGAAUUUUUUUAGAAUUUUUUUAUCUUUUAAUAUUUUUUUACAUAUAAAUAUAUAAUAUUCUCCUAAUAUAUUUUAAUUAAAAAAAUUUACACAGGAAAUAAGAAAAUUCUAAUCUUCAUGAAUAUAGUCAAAUUAGUAAAUCAUGUUAAAUCUGUGCGUUAUUUAUUUUUUAUAUUUAAUUUUUAUUGUGUGAUUAUUUAAUUCUUAACAUUUACCCUCCCUCUCUUCUUUCUCCUUUGCUAAUCCAUAUUUUUUCUUUUUGCUUUUUCUUUUUGCUCUUUCUUUUGAUAAUUGAUUAUAGUGAGAUUUACAUGAGAUUUCAAGAUUUGAAGCAAGACAUUAGCGUAUGUAGGAAAAGAGUGUCAAUGGGUAUCAAAGGAUUCACUGAAGUAUUCUCUUAAAUGUGUCAUUGUUUAUGUUGAUGAUGGAAAAAAACCUAUUUUGUUUGUAAGAUCUCUAUUAAUCUUUCUUCAUUAUUUUGCUAAGUUUGGAGUUGCUAUAUUUUUGAGUUUGUAAAAUCCAUCAUUCUAUGAGAUGGGAUUGUUACGAUUUUGAAAAAAAGGAUGGGAGUUUUUGUUUAUGGCUUGAAAAUUCUUAUUUUUAUGGAUGUGAUGUUCAAUUUCUCAAAAUUUUCUCAUUAAUUUAUGUUUUGUUGUCUGUGAUUUGCAGGAGAUAUGGAGGGGAGAGAGAGAUUAGCAAAGGGGGAGUAAAGACAAGGAGAAAGAAAAGAAAUAGAUAUAAUAGAGAAAUAUGUGUGAAAGAAAGAAGAGGGGGAAGGGGGAGGACUAGAGUGGGAAGAAAAAUUUUAUAAAUUUAUGCAUUGUUACUUAAUGAAUCUAAUGUAAUGGCUAUCGAUCGUUAAAGAGGAGUAGUUUGAAUACUAUUAUAUUUGUCUCCACAGUCAUAGUAUAAACUCAUGAUUUUUUUUUAAUUGAUAUAAAUUGUUAUUAAAAUUAUAAUUUUAUUAAAUAUGAUAAUUUAUUAAAAUAUAUUAUUAUAAAUAUAUAAAAAAUUAAAUUUAUUUUGCAAACUCAGUAUAUAAUUAAAACUUUAUACUAUUUGAAAUUAAUCUAUUGAAUACUUGAAUUAACAUUAUAACUUCUUCAACAUUUGAAUUUAUAAAAAUUUUAAUAAUUAAAUAUAAAUUAGUCAUAUUUAUCAAUUAUUUAUUAAUAAAAAUAAAAAUUCUAAAUUUUAUUCACUGUAUUCUAAAUUUUAUUAAUUAUAUCCUGAAUUUUUACAAAUCGAUGAAGUUGGAUUAUUAUUGUUAUUAUUAUUUUAUAAAAAUUUAGAAUUAAAUAGUAAAAUUUUGAAUAUAAUUAAAAUAAAUCGAACUAUUUUUAAAUUUAUUUGAUAAAUAAUCAAUGAUAUAAGUAAUUUAUGUUUAAUUUUAUUAUAGCUUUUAUAAAUUUAGAGGUUUAAUAUGCUAUAAUUUUAAUUUAAAUAUUUAAUGGGUUAACACAAAAUAAUACAAAAAUGUUAGUAUAUAUUUAAUCAUUUUAAAUUAUUGUCAAACUAUUAUUUUAAUAUUAAUAUAAUAAUAUCAUACCUAUUACUAAGCUAAUGUUGUCUAAAUUGUAAAAUCUAAUAGGGAUGGUAAUGUAUUUUUAAGUACCGCUGCACAAUUUGAAUAGAAAACUUAUUGAUAAAAAUAAAAUCUAAGAACUGGCUUAAUUAAAUAUUUUUAAGAUAGAUCCACUAUAAGAAAUUUAAUCACUAACGGAUUGAAGUUCGUUAAUAUCUGGAUAUUUCUAACGGAAUCUGGAAAACAUAUUAUCCACUAACGGAGGUACAUAACCGUUAAUAUUUUCGUUAGUAAAAAAUAUGCUCAUAAACAUUCGUCACAGUUCUGUUAGUUAAAUACUAACAGACAUAUUUUCCGUUAAAAAUCUGUUGAUAAUUUUAUUAUAUUUUUAUGUAAUGUUUUUUUCAUUAACGGACCAAUAAUCCAUUAGUGAAUUAUAAACUCAAAUACAGAAUAUCCUAUCUAAAAUCCCUAGAUCGUGUUAUUGGAAAAUCUAAAUCUGCCUGAAAUCCGAAUUUGCGUCGAACCAUUGUAUCUUUCACUACCAUCGCCAUCCACUGUCCGCCGCCAUCCACAGUCGACAGGUACGCUAUUUUCGGCAUCACGGUCCACAAGUGAGCCCUUCUCUCUCUCAAGUCUUGCCAUUCUCAACAGAACUGUCCACAGGUGCGCUAUUUUCUUCUUGAUUCAUGUUUUGUCCGAUUUUUGAUUCAUGUUUUACCUGAUUCGUAUUCUGCCUGAAUCAUGUUCUCCAGUCUUGCGAUGUUCUGUCUGAUUCAUGUUCUGUCUGAUUUUUGUGAAAUUUUUUAUUUCCGCCUGAUUCAUAUUCUGUUCUAUUCUGCUUUUUUAGUAACAGUAAUAGUUUUAUUUAGGAGCUGAGUUCAUUGAUUUUAGCAUUAUUUUUAGUAGCAAGAAACACCAGACUGCCUUAGUCAUUGAUAAAAUUUACUAUUUUUCUUGUUGGGGAAUGCUAAUAGAACUUUCAUCAAAUAUAAUCUAUGCAACUUUUGAUUGGGUUGGGGACAGAACUUUCCUGCAAAUUGAAUUGUGUCACAAUCCACAACUAUAUAUAUCAUUGUUUUAAAAUCCAAUGAAGAAAAAGAAUUAAUUAAGUUAUAAAGAAUUAAGUUAAUCCAGUGCACCUGUCUCUAGAGAUAAAUUUAAUCUUAUUAAUUAUGAAAAAUUACACUAUCGAAAUGAUUAUUUACCUAAAAAAUUAGGUUAAAUACAUAAUUUUAACUUUCUAGUUGAAUAGUUUAUUCCUUCAUCCACUCAGCCUCGAAGAACUUCUUAAUCAAGCACAAGUUUGCUGUGUCAAUAAUAUUCAAGCAUAAAAAUUGAGUUUGAAUUCGACUCAUUUAAAAAAUAAAUUAAAACAAAUUGGAUUUUUAUUGAGAGAAAUUUUGAAUAAAUCAUGAAUAUUUUAAUUAUAUUAUAAAAUUAAAUUUAAACUCUAUUUAUUUAAAAAUAAUUAAAAAUAAAUUAAAUUUUUAUUAAAUCGAAUAUCGAAAAUAUUACAAAAUAUUUUAAUUAAUAUACAUCUUCAACAUAUGUAAAAUAUAAGAAUGAAAAGAGAUAAAAUAGGCUUAAGUAACUUGUAUUUAUUGGUUUAUAUUUAAUUUACAAAAAGAAACAUUAGGUUUGACAACCUUGCCAAUCAUGUUGCUCGUCAAAAGGAGAAGGAUAGAUACACUGAAUUUGGAAGAAAGAGCUGAGAAUAGAAGACAUAUAAUAUAUAUGAUAAACAUGUAACCUUCAAUAACCAAAAAUAAAACUAAACCAACUUGUAUCUACAAAAUGGAAUGCAUAAAAUAAUUAAAAAGAAUAAAAUUUUUUAUUAUGUUAGAAGUUUAAUCUAAAAUUUUAAAAUUGGUAUAAUUCAACUUAAAAUUUCUAAAUUUAUUUUUUUUUAUUUUCGUCUAAUUUAAUAUAAAAGGCCGUAAUUUAAAAUUCUUCUUAUUUAUUAUUAGUUUUAAAAAAUUGUAAUAAGUCUAGUAUUUAUUAAUUUUUUACUUUCCAAAUGUCUUAUCAAUGAACAUCAAAAUAAAUUUAAUUAUAUUUAUCAUAAAAAAACUAUUUCAAUAUCAUUAGAAUAAAAACUAGUUUUUUUUUUUAAAUUAUAAAAAAUAAAGUUCUUCAUUAGAUAUAUAAAACCAUUACAACAUAAUCAACUAGGUUCAAGGACUAAGCAAACUCAGAUUAUAUGGAUCUUUAAAGUCCAAAAAAUAUAUAUAAAAAAAACUUUAAAGAAAAAUCUUAAAAAUUCAAACCCAUAAAGGACCCAACUCAGAUCCGAAAAAGCCAUUAUCGUCGGCCUACAUCAACAAACCCUCAAUAAUGGUGAAAAGCCAUUUUAGCAUAAUGAAGAGCGAGAAAAAAAACAUCGGCCAAAAGCAACACCAAAGGAGCUAGAAGAAAAAGAGGACGAAGAGGAAGGACUCCAUUGUCGACCAUAAACUAGUCAUGCAACACAUUUUCGCCCAUCAGCAAAGUGAGAAAAGGGAAGGUGCCACUUGAAGACAAAGACAAGAGAAUAAGAAAACAACAACCACAUGCAGGUAAAAGCAAAGACUCCCUUACGAUGAAACUCAAAAUCAUCAAACAACAAUACAAUAAAAGAAUAUUUACAACUUCAUCCGGUGGAAGAUAACCCAUUGACGGGUGAGGUGAAGGGAGCCACCUUGCUCGACGAGGCAAGGGAGACCGCGAAUCCGACAAAGGAGGAGGUUGACUUCCUUAAAAAACACUUACAAUUGUGUUAUUGAUAUUUUGAUAUUACUUAACGGUAUAAGCUAAUGUUUAAAAUACAAGCACAAAUACUGCAUUUGAGAGCAUAUAUAUAUGGUUAUGAUUUCUUACACCAAACAAACGGAAAUGAAAUAUAAAAAUGAAAUUUUAGGAAUUUAGUGGUGAAAGUAGAAAAAUUCAGGGAUUUUAAGUUGAAUUAUAUUAAUUUUUAAAGAUUUAAAUUAAAUUAUAAAAUAAUAAAAAAUUUUAGAUUAUUUUUUUUAAUACCUUUUGUCUACUCGUAUCGUGAAUAAAAUAAAAUAAUUUAUUUUGGUUGCCACAUAAACAAGACAUUCUUCCCUUAAUUUGAAUGGUAAAAUUAGAUAUAAUUACACUAAAAUUUAUAAUUUUAGACAAUUCUAUUAACUUUUAAAUAUUUGAAUUAAAUCAUAAAAUAAAGAAAAAUUUUAGAUUUUUAAUACCAAUCCCUAUUUUACUAAUAUAGUUUGUUUCUUAAUUUAGUAAAAUCAUAUGCUCUCCCCCUCCAAUAAUUUUUAUCUAUUUUAUUUUUGCACAUAUAUUAAGAAAGACAAUAUUUUUAUUAACUUUUCAAUUGUUCUAUUUUAAAAAUAUUAAAUUUUAUUAAAUAUUAAAGAUAUUUUGAGAAAUUUUUUAAAAAUAAAAUUAAAUAGAAUUAUAAUAUACAAUUAUAUGUUAUUAUAAUAUAAAAAAGAAAUUGAAUAAUAAUUUUGAGAUAUUUAAAAAAAGUAAAUAUAGAUAAAAAUUAUGAAAUAUUAGUACUUUGUAGAUUGUAAAACAAGUACAGAAAAUAUCCAACCAAAAACUAAAAGAAAAUUUUAGAUUAUAUUAAUUUAAAAUGAAUUUUAAACUAAUUUAUUCUAAAGUUUAAAUUGAUUUGAGUUAUUAUUUUAAUUAUUAUACUUAGAGACUUCAAUUGAAAUUCAAGUUAUUUUGCAAAUCCCAAGUGGUUUCAAAAUUUAUAGAAGUUUUAUCUUUUUUUUUUUUGAAAUUGUGAAAAUUUUUUACCAUAUUUUUCUACUUUAUAUCAAAUUAAUAAAUUAUUAUAAAAACUUAUGGGUUUAAUUACUUAAUUAAAAAAGAAAAAGAAAUAAAGAAACUGCAAGAUAGGGUUGGGUCAUCUUGAAUUGUACAUGAUGAUGAUGACAAGUGAGCACAAUUUGUAAUAUUAGUUUUGUAUGGUUUUAGGUUGAAGGAGGACCUUCAUGCACCUUUCUCAUUCAAAACUUUCAUAGUGUUGAAAAUGAAUUCCACAUUGGUAACAAAUAAAAAUGAAAAACUGAAUAAUUUGUAAUAUUAAAUAUUUAAAUUCAUAUAAAAUCAAUUAAUAUUUAGGCUCUGUUUGAUUUUAGAAAAACAUUUUCUAAAAAAAUAUUUUUUAUAUUUUUUGAUAUUUAGAAUACUCAUAAAAUUUUAAAUUUAAAUUAUUUUUAAAAAAAAUAUUUAUUUUUUUAAGAGAGUAAGUCAUUUUUCACAUUUUAAAAUUUUUAUUAAAGUUUUUUAUAUAAAUUUUAUAAUAUAUUUAUUUUUAAAUUAAAAUUAAAUAGUAAAAAAUAAUAAUAAAAAAUAAAUUAUUUUAUUAAAAAAAUAUUUUUCAUAAAAAAUAUUUUUCACAAAAUAAAUUAUUUUUUACUGUAUUAACUAUUAUGAAAAUAAAUUUAAAAUAAUAAUUAUAAAUUAUUAUUUUAUAUAUUUAAAGGAUAACUAUAAAUUAAUAACAACAGUUUAAAAAUUAUUAAAUUUAGCUUCCAUUGUCUGUAGCAAUUUAUUUAUUUUUUUUUAGCUAAAUUUCUAAUCUUGUUAAAUAUAAAAAGUUAUUAUUUAAUUUAUUUGUUAUGAAAAAAUUAAUUAAUUAAUUUUUAAAUUAAAAAUAAAUAUAUUAAAAUAUUUAUGAAAUUUUAAAACUCUAUUAAUUAAUUUUUUAUUAAUUUUAACUAUUAUUUAGUUUCUGUAGUAUAAAAAAUUUCAUUAAUUAUUUUUUUUAUUUUAUAAAAAUGCAUGUUAAGUAGUUUUUUGGUAUCAAAAAAAAUUAUAGAUUUUUUUAAAAAUAAUUUAACGAUUAAAAUUAAUAAAGAGACUAAUUAAUAAAUUUUUUAAAAUUUUAAAAUAUUUUAAUAAAUUUUUUAAAAUUAAGAAAUUAAUUAAUAAAUUUUUUUAUAUCAUAAAAUUAAAUAAUAAAUUUUUUAGUAAAAAAUUAAAUUAUUUUUAUAAUAAUUUUAAAAUAUAAUAAUUUAACUAAAAUGUUAAAAUGAUUUAACAGUGUGGCAAUAUUUCAAAGGUUUUUAUUUGUCACUUUGCUUUGGAAAAUCAAACAAUAUUGUCAAUAUAUGUUCUUAAAGUUAUUGUGGCUUCAUUAUAAACUUUGUUUUAUUUUUGAUGAAAAAAUCUAAAAAGAAAACAUCAUAAUUUAAAAGAUUUAAUUUUGAUGUGAUUUAGAUUAAUCAUAAUCUGUCAAAUCGUAGUGGGUAAUGAUUAAUUUAAUUUUUUAAUAUUUUCUAAAGCAUAAUUUUCUAACAAAAAUUUUCUUAAAAAAAUUAAUUUUUCUUUUCUUGAAAAAGUAGCCUAGUCCAAUACCUUGCUAAUAGAUGUGUUGCACAUUUUCUUGACUAAAAUGCAAUGAUUAUGGAAAUAAACACAUAGAGAUUCAAUGCAUGAACUUGUGCCUGUAGAAACUUUAUCUUAAAAAUUAAAAUAUAAAAAAUACAUCAUACUUAUAUAUAUAAUAAAAUUUAGUAAUUUAUAACAUAUUUAUACACAAUAAAAUAAUAUAAAAAAAAUUUACAUAAUCAAAAUAACUUAAUAUAAUUUAAAAUAAAAAUUAAACAUGAUCUCAACUUUAAUAACUGUAUUAUAUUCUUAAACACUGACAUUAUAAAAGAAGGAAUAAAUGAUGAUAAUGCAUUGAACAAUGGAAAAGAUUUGUAUUAUUUACUUACUAUAAAGAAAGUGAAGUGAAAAGGACAGGUUCUGGGCACAAUCACUGCCUCUGUUUCAUCAAACUUCUAAACAAUAAUUUCUGUUUUCAAAAAAAACAAAAGAAAAAAAAUCAUAUCAAAUUAGGAGUAGGGAUGGCAACGAAUCGAAUAUUUUUAGGUAUUCGAUCCGAUUGAAUCGUAAUAGAAUGGAUUUGGGUAGUUAUGAUCGGGUUUGAAAUGAGUUCGAAUUUUAAAAAUAAUAUCCAUUACGGGUUCGAAUCGAAUUCAAGUUUUAUGUACAGAGUACCCACUACCCGAAUCCGUUUAUAAUUAAUUUAAUAUAAAAAAUAUAUUUUAUAAUAAUAUUUAUAAAUUUUUUUAUAUAUUUAUAUUUAAAAAUUUAAAUUUAAAUAUUCUUUAAAAAUAUUAAAUUUUUUAAAUAAAAAUUAUUAAUAAAAAAUAUCUUUUAUAUAAAUUAUUAAUUAAAAUAUAUAAUAUUAAACGGAUUCGGAUUUUAUUCGGAUAAUAAUAAUCGGAUUUGAAACGGAUUCGGAUAGUUUAAAUUAAUUUUUAAUCGGGUUCGGAACGGGUUCGGAUAUUACUAAUAAUAAUCGGGUUCGGAUAGUUUAAUUUUCGCGGGUACCCUACCCGUUUACAUCCCUAAUUAGGAGGGUGUAUUUGGUUAAUUUGAUUCAAAAUCGAAUCGAAUCGAAUAAAUUAAAAAUUGAAAUUUUAAUAUUUAUAAAAAUUAAAUUGAAUUAAUUUUGAUUAAAAAUCAAAUUAAACUGAAUCGAUCAGAUUCGAUUCGAUUCGAUUCGGUUCAAUUUGAUUGGUUUCAAUUUUUAAUAAAUUUUUUAUUUUUAAUAUUUUAAAAUUUAAUUAAAAUAUUUUAAUUUUAAUAUGAUUUAAUUUUAAUAUGAUUUAAUUUCUUCGUAUUAUUGAAAAAAUAUUUUAUUAUCACUUAUCGGUUCAGUUUAAUUUUUUCGAUUUUUUUAUUAAAAUCGAAUCGAAUUGAAAUAAUCAAAAUUUUUAAAAUUAAAAAUCAAACUGAAUUAAAAUAAAUAAAAAAAUAAAUUAAAAUUUUAAAUUAAUUCAAUUCAAUCAAUUUUUUUAAUUUGAACCGAAGAGUAUAUAACAUCUCGAACUGUAAAUAUGGAUUGAAAGCGAGAGAGAGGGGGAGAGAUGGGUGCAAUGCAUAAAGAAGAAAGAGGUCUUUAUCAAUAAAAUUUUCAUUAUGAAUGAGUAUGAGCUCAGAAUCAAUCACUGUCUUGAAAUGUCGUUUGACCCACUAAAAUGUACGUUAUUGUCCCGUUUUGCUUAUGGCCUUGCUUUUUCUGGGAGUUAUUAAUGUUUCGCAAAAGGUCAAAUUUAUCAUUAUGAAAUAAAUAAAAAAUAUUAAAUUUUAUUUUUUCAGCAUGAAUUUAUUCUAAAUUAUUAUUAAAAUAUAAAAUAAAAUAAAUAACAAGUGAUAAUUUAUUAUAAUUAUAUAUUUAAAAAUAAAUUGAUAACCUCACUAUAUAAUCCAAAGUAAAUUUAACUGUUUAGCUAUUAAUAUUUUUUGUAUGUAAAUAUAAUUAUAUUAAUUUAGUGAGGAUAUAAUUUAUCUAUAAUCUAUAACACUUACACAAGUAAGGGGAGAAUAUUGGAAUUGUAAUAUAUUUAUAGUAAUUUUUUAUCAUAAUAAAAUAUUAAUUUUUAUUUUAUUUAAAUUAUUAAUAUUAAAUUUAGCGUUUUGUUAAUUUUCUCAUCAUUAAAUUUUGAAGUAUCAUAUAAUAUUAGUUUUUCUAGUCCUAUAUAGACUUAUUUUUUAAAAUAAUAAAAUUUUAUUUAGUUCAAGUUAAAUUUAUUUAUUUCUAAAUUGAAUAAUUUAUAUCUCAAUUAUUAAUCUAUUUCAUAUAAUUUUUUUUUUUACUUGAAGUUGUAUAAAUAUUGUUAUUUUAACAAGUAAAGCAUUUUAAUUGAAAUGGACUUCAUUAUUUAGUAAAAUAUAAUUGAGACCAUUUAUCAAUUAUUAAUCUAUUAUAUUCUUGAGAUCAAAAAUUGAGACCAUAAUUGGAAUUAUUUUAGAAACAAAAGAUUUCCAUUUGCAGGCCUCUGCACGCCAGGUGAAAAUAAUAUAUUGAUUUUCUAGUUAAUCAGGAUGGUGAAAAAGUUUUGGAUGAGAAGAGUAUGGGUACUUUGAUUCUUGAUUAUUUUACUAACCUAUUUCCUGAGUUUAGUAGUGAUUAUGCUGGUGUCAUUAAUCUUAUUGAGCAAGUGGUGAGUAGGCAGGAUAAUGAUUGUCUUUUAACACUACCAUCAGCUGAUGAGACUUGUAGAGCUGUUUUUCGGAUGCAUCUAGGAUAUGAUGGUAUAAACUCUACGAUGAGAUGACUUACAAAAUUCACUAUUUUUUUAUAUUAAAUUUAUGAUUUUGUUAUAAUUUUAAUUUAAACAAUUAGUUUUUACUUGUAUUUUGAUUUUUGACAAGUUUUGAGCUGAAAAUAAGUAAAGGAAAAAAAAACUGUUUUAGAGAUUUUUUCUAACUGAAAAGUACAUUUUGCAAAAGGCUGUAGCUCAAGCAUGAUGGAUAGAUUCUAGAAUUUUACUUGCUAUUAUUAAUCAAGUUUGAGUUCUUCUAUUCUUAAAUCAGUUAAUUAAUUAAAUAUACACGUUUGAUGAGGUUAUUAAUUAACUAGGAAUUAAUUUAAACAUUGUGCGGAUUAAUUUAAUUAUAAGAAAGAAUUAUUGGGAUUCACUUGUUUGAACACUAUAACUAAACAGUAGAUAAUUAAAUGAAUUAUCUUGUUAAUCAAUAAUCAACUGCAAACCUCUCGAUUUUAAUUAUUUUCAGUUGGGUCUUUAAUCUAAUUAUUUAUUUCAUUAUCCAAUCAUUUUAUUCUUCUUUAGGUUUUUUUUAACUAAUUUCUCUAGUUGAAAUUUUUUUCUUAUCUUUUUUUAUUUUAAACUCUUCUUUUUAUUAUACUUGUCAUUUAAUUUAAAUAAAGUUAACAUAUAUAUUCGAUACCCGUCACCCUACCUUGUUUUCAAAGAUUCUGGAAUAUUAUUGGAGAUUUCGUGGUAUCAUCUUGUUAGGAUUGGAUGAAAAAUAGCAAAAGUUUCUUGAGACUCUCAAUGACACGACUAUUAUUUUAUUUCAAAAAAGGACAACCCAUUUGAUUUAAGAGACUUGACUGAUUUCUUUGUGUAAUGUCCUUUGACAAAAGUUCUUGCUAAUAGGUUAAAAGUGUUGCUUCCAGGUAUUAUCUCCUCUUCUCAAUCUACUUUUGUAUUGGGUAGGUUAAUUAUAGAUAAUGUGCUCAUUGCUUUUAAGCUUAUAUCCAUUUAUGAAGAGGAAAACAAGAGGUAAAAAUGGAGAAGUGAUCUUUAAAAUUGAUAUUAGUAAGGUCUAUGAUAGGAUAGACUGAAAUUAUUUAAAACUUAGCUUAUUAUUGCAUUUGGAGUUUCAUAGUUGGGUAGACAUAAUCAUGAUAUGUGUAUCUACCGUAGUUAUUCUUUUGCUUUAAACGAUGAAGUUGUUGGCCCUAUUAUACCAAAGAGAAGGUUGAGACAAGGUGACCCUUUAACUCCUUAUAUGUUUAUUUUAUGUUUUGAGAAUUUAUCAGCUUCAUUUCAUAAUGCAGAGAUAUGGGGAUUGAUUCAUGGCACAUAGAUUUAUCAUCGUGCUCCGGCUGUUUCACAUUUGCUUUUUGCUGAUGAUUGUUUUUUCUCUUCAUGGGACUGAUUGUGGUCAUAUGAAGAAUAUUAUUGUAACGACCCGAAAAUCGGACCGCUACCGGCGCUAGGAUCCGGGUCGACUUAAGGCCACCGGGACCCGUAGGAAGCCUAACAUGAAACCUGUAAACCUGUUUAAUCCCAUACAUGAUCAACAACAUACAUA